GGUAUCAAAGUAUGAAAAUACAAGGUCAUAGUAUAAUAAUUCCUUCUUGCAUGCAUGAGACUUCACACUGGUCGUUGCUUCUUACACUUGUCAAAAAAAAAAAAGGGCCAUGCAAGUUAUGUCAAGACAAAACCUCCCAAACACCAAUUUUAGUUUCAUUCUUAUCUUGAACAUUUCUAAAAUUGAGAGAGAGGGAGUUGAGAGACCAAGAGAAAUUUUGAAGCUUUCAUCCUUCUUCAACGGUGGAACUCCAGCAAGAAACAAGUCACCACUUCAACUAGUUGAGUUAAAGGUAACGGGUGAGAGAGACCAAAGUUUUCCACUCUUUAUUCUUGCAAGACAAGAGGUAAACUUGUUAGCCAAAUCUUCCAUUUUCUCAAACACACCAAGAUGAUUGAUGCAUGUUAGUUUCUAGCCAAGAAAAUGGAAAUUUUGUGGGAAAGAAACCUCAUUAGAAGUUGAUUUUAUUGCUAAAAAAUUUAUAGAUUUGACUGAGGGUGACAUGAGCUCAUUUUGCAGCCUCUUAUUUUGAAAUUUUGAGGAGUUUCCGCUAGGAAUUCCUAAUAUAUAUAUGUUAUAUUUCUUGUUUAAUAUGAUAUUUAACAUUUUGCUUUGAUUUUAGUAGCAAGUUGUUGGCUUAAAUGUAAGAAAACUAGAAGAAACAAAGCUGAAAUAAUUUUUGUGAAACCGAUGGAGUGAAGCUGCAAGUUUGGUUCUUUCCUCCAAGAAAUCUUGAUGGAAUUUGUCUAAAUGUAACUUAUGUAUCUCCCAUCUCUCUUUCUAUGACAUGCAUGUAGUAUUUUGUUUAAAUUCAUUAGGAAUAAGACUUGAUUUGCGAAAAAGCUUUGCUGGAAAUUCUGUUGAGGUUAAUGCAUGUGGGCUGAUUGGAGUAGAACUGAAAUUUUCAGCUUUUACCUUGAAUUUUGAGUGAAUUUUUGCUAAGAUUUCAUGUUUUAUAUCAUGACAACUAUUUGCAUAGAAUCUGGUAGGUUUCUAUGGUUGAAAUAAUAGUUCUAUGUUCUUUGAUUUUGCUGAAAAUUUUCCACAUUGAUCUGAUUGUAGGAAAGCUGGAAUUUUCAACUUUCAUCUUGACUUGCUGAUGAAAUCCUUGCUAGGAGCCAUGUUAUAUACCUUGCUAGAUGUUUAUAUGUUGUUUAAUGUGCUAUAUUCUGAAUUAAGUGAAGGAAUUGGAGAUUAAAAUGAGAACUUAGGGAUGCUUUGCUGGAAAGUUUCUUGUGAGAACCCGUAAUUUUUCCCUUUUCAAGGUUUUAUUAUAUUUAAUGGCAUGUUUUCUGCAUUUUCUUUAUUCAAAAAGUUUCUAGAUAAUUUUUAUGAGUAAAUAUAGUUUUUAGGUGAGUUUUCUAGUAUUGGUUAGUUUUUAAGAAAUUAAGAGCGUAUACCGGACGUGGUACCCACUAAGGCGAAAAGUUCGGAAAAAUUCGGUCAAUUAGGUUAAGUUUGGGACACUGGGUUUAAAUUAUCGGGUGCUAAGAGAUAAUUAGAGGUUGCUAUUUGGAUUGGUGUGAGAGGAAACAAAGUGAUAGCUAUGCAUUUAAUAAAAUGACAAGUGUCACUUAGAGAUUGGUUGUACUUGAUGACCACUAUUCACCUUUUACCAUUUGACCAAAUAAAUCAAAAAAUUACCAAAAAUUCACCAUUUUUCUUCCUCUUCUUGGCCGGCCACCUCAAGCAAAAAGAAAGGGAAAAGCUCUUCAAAUAUUUGCUUCUAUCUUGCUCAAAUUCAACAAAACAACCAUUUGAUCUUGCAUUUGUUCCAUAAAACCCCUUCAUUUAGUGAUUGUGAGGUGUUUAGUGGAGUUGUUUGGAAGGCUAAGGUGAUUAGUUGCUCUCUCUCUUGUAUUACUAAGGUGAGUAGUGAAGGACCCCUCUCCUCCAUCUAAUGAUGUUUCAUUCAUGAUUUGUGGUAGUUUAAGAUGUAAUUUUAUGGAUUAUAUCUUGAUUUUGGUUGAAUUGGUGAAGUUUUAUAAUUAUUGGUGAUUUUUCUGUUUUCAUAUGAUUAUUAUUAUGGGGUCAUGUAUGAUGAUUGGAAAUGAUAUUUAAUGCAGCUAGAAGGUGUAUGUGGUGGAUAAUUGCAGGAAAUUUCUGUUUUGGAAAGAAAUUGGGAAAGUUAGGGUUUCAUUAUUUACAUUCUGUCCGGCACAGUACCUCAUAGUUAGAGGCCGAAUUGGCCUUGGGUUAAAACAUUAAAGUUGUAGGGAAUGAUAUUCUAGAUAUUCAUGAAAAAUUUCAGGUCAGUCGGAGAAACGUAACUUGUGAAAAGACUGAAAUACCCCUGCUGCCCUGGUUUCACCCGAACUUGAGAAUUGCUUCGGUAAUUGGUUAAUUUGGUUGGGAAUACUUCUGAUUUGGUUGUUGAGGUCUUCUGAAGAAAUGUAUCCUGAUGUCUUAGCUUUCGGAUGGCUUUGGAAUCACUUGAUUUGGACUUAGGUAGCCUGACUUAUGAUGUUUGAACCAGAAUGCGGUUUGUGAACCUGUUUUUUCGGUUCUGGUGUAGUAUAUUGCAUUUUUGACCUGGUUACACUCGAAACUGGACAGGGUAGCCUUCUUCAACAUUGUAACCCUAGCACUUAGCUUCGAAAUGGUGUAUCUUGUACCUCCAUCUGAUAAUCGUAGUGCCAAUGGUGCCAAACCGCAAACGGAUGUCAAAAACUAUUUUUUUUUGGGUUAGAACUUAAUGCCAUUUCCGGAUUUUCCUGGUUUACUCUAGUGCUUAUACAUUCUAGUGGAACCUUAUUUUGGUGGUAUUUGGCAUUGGUUAUGACUUGUAAUUGAGCCUUAUUAUUCUUAUUUGAAUGUUCUAGGCCGUGACGGUGGUGCAAGACGCUCUUAGGCGGAAGUGCAUGAAAUAUCAUUUGCUUGAUUGGUGAGUGUACCACUCACUUGUUGUUUACAAUGUGGCUUUGGUAUAUGUGAACUUGAUGCCUUGAAGGCUUAUUUGCUUCGUUGAACUUAAUUAAGUGAGGGUGUACUUGAUCGCCCUCACCCAUUUGGUAUCUCAUAUGACUGUCUACUGUUUUACUGCAAUGAUUGAAUGAUACAUGAAAUACUGAAUUGGUUCAUGAAUUUGGUGUCGCUUGGACGAGUAUCCAACGACCAUUACUGAUACGACUGAGCUCAACCCCAUUGGUAGUCGAUUGGAUCGAGUCGGCGAGGGCUUGGUCGUGAAAAUUGACGAGCCAUGGGGACUGUUAUAUGGAAUCUUGUAGUAGUGAGACUCUUGAUUCCGGUAUACUCGAGUAUUACCAAAUUUCUACUGUUUGGAGUUCGGGCCCGGUAGGGGUAUGUUGGGUGGAAGGAAUGGAAGUAAAGUGGAGCCUACGGUUGGUUACUCUUAAACAUUGACGGAGGGUCAAUGAGAUCCGAUCAAGAAUGCAAACGAGGAAAAGGGCUCUUGAGAGCCGCCCGUAUCCUUUUAUCACCACUAUUGAUGUGUGCCUUUGCUUACUUUUGAUGUAUUGGAAUGAAAAGCUUGAUGCUUAUAUGAACUUGGUUGCUUGAGUGGUAUUAUCUCAUUGGGCGUAAGCUCACUCUAUUCCCUUUUGUUUUCCUUACAGGAAAAUAAAUACUAUUGGACUGGAUUUGAUAGUUGGUUGCCAAAUUGAGCUAGAUGGACAUAUCUUUUGUAUAGCUCCUUGAUUGAAACCCUAAAUGUACUUUUGGGUCCGUUUCUCUUUUGAUUUGGCAAACUGUACAUGUAUCCACUUUUGAAUAACUUUUGUAUGCCACUUGGGAUUGUAUAUGCUUAAUUUCAACAUGUAAAUAUUUGCUUGAUGUUUGGUUGGGUUUUGACGUGUCGGUUACUAUUCAUGACCGACUCCGGUUUCAUUUUUUUUUAUCUUGACAUUUUGACUUGUUUACGCGUGUUUGUAUGUUCCGGAACGUAUUAGAUCGCUCUAAACUGAACCGUUGUCCUGGCGAGAGCUGGGCAGGCAGUCCGCUAACCCCUUUGGUUCGCCUUAAGGGAAGGUGGGGCUGUCACAGGUGGUAUCAGAGCCUAGGUUUGAAUUGGCCUGGGUGUAUUAGAAAUGCUUGAUUUGAGGAUUAUUUUGAUUACGUCCUUUAAGAUUAUUAUACUUAUUUCUUCUUUUGGUGUAGAAUGGACGGUCAUGGUGAGGCUAGUAGUCCCCCUACUGGAGAGCUACCCCGUGGGGUGCUUCCGGUGAUUCCGUACCAGAUCCGACCCAGAGGGGCCGUUGUGCGUUGGAGCCCGGCUAACCGCCUCCGACGUUGCGAGUGUCGACACAAGUACGCUUACCCUAAUUCUCUGGUGUUGGCAGUGGCCGAGGAGCGUAAGGAGUUGGCCGAAGAUAAGGCUAGGGUUGAGGCCGAGUUGAACCAGCUUAGGGCGGCCAAUGAGAAACAGGCUGAGCGCAUUAAGGGGUUGGAGUAUGACGUGCUUGAGGUAGAGGAUAGGGUUGAUGGCCUCUGCACUCAACUUAGGGAAGUUCGUGAGCGUGAGACUAAGCGAGCUCGAAAUGUUAAGGUUCGAGCCGCAUCGAUCCUGAACCUCUGCGUGGACAUGGUCGAGGGCGUGAGUGACGAGGACUCGUGUGCGGGACCCGAGGCUGGGGUUGGAUCCACCUCGUCGGGUGGGUCUACUAGCCCAUCGACGGACUAGGUCUCGACUCCUAGGUUUUUGGGAUAGUUUUGUUUCUUGUAUAUAGGGAUAGGGAAAGAACCUAAGCUAGCCGUUUGGUAUGUUUGGCUUAGCUACAUGUAUAAUCUUUUGAUAAGGCCAUUCCCUGGUGGUUUUUCUAUGUUUCGACUUGACUUGACUGUACUUGAUUUGACUGUACUUGGCUUGACUGGUUGUGAUAUGUGUGUUGUUUGACUUUGUUUGGAAUGUAUAUAUAUGUUAUUGUAAAAGCUUUUGGGAUUUUAUUUACAUGCAUUGUUAUUCUAUUGUUCUAGUACGUUUGCCUAGACCAAGUAGAGUUCAUGGAAGGUACACGUAGUGGACGGGGACGUGGGCGCGGAAAUAGACAACCCACACCGGACAGGGGUACUGGGGAACCCUCAUCUGGACCUAAUCCUGACCCCAAUGUGCAAGUCGCCGCCGCUAUGCAGCAAAUGACCAAUUUGCUGGCACAAGUGGUGCAGCAACAGGGCCAAAACCCAAACCCUAAUCCUGGAAACCCUGGCAACCACGUCGAGAGCGAAGACAGAGCUCUCGAACGAUUUCAAAAGUUUGCUCCACCCAAGUUCAUUGGGGGGCCCGAUCCGGAUGUCGCCGAAAGGUGGUUCGAGAAGAUGGUCAAUAUUUUUGCGGCCUUGCACUACACCGAAGAACGGCAGGUGACUUUUGCCGUUUUCCAGUUGGAAUGGGUGGCCCGUUCCUGGUGGAACGUAAUACGGCAAAAAUGGGAACGGGAACAAACGCCCAGGACUUGGGUGAAUUUCAUAAGGGAAUUCAACGCGAAAUUUUUCCCUCCUCUAGUUCAGGAGAGGAAGGAAGAUGAGUUCAUCCGACUCCGCCAAGGGACUCAAUCUGUGGCGGAAUACGAGAGUCAAUUUACCCGCCUGUCCAAAUUUGCGCCUGAGCUGAUCAUGACCGAGCAACGGCGGAUCAGGCGCUUUAUCCAGGGCUUGAAUGUCGAAAUCCAGAAGGACCUCGCAGUGGCUCAAAUCAAUGCUUUUAGCGAGGUCGUGGAAAAGGCCCAACAAGUAGAGAGUGCUAGAUUUCAAGUCCGGAACUUCCAGGCAAAGAAGCGGGGUUUUCCUGGGAGUAGUUCAGGAUAGGGUGAGAAGAGUACCCCCUCCAAGUUUGGACGAGGAAUGGGAGGUGGACGACAGUCGGGUACAGGCAGUCGGGUCUAGGGGUGGCCAAGCUGGGUGAGGCCAAAAAGGAAAUUUUCAGGGAGGCUCAGCUUCAGCACCUCGCGGUCCCUGUGGGCAUUGUGGGAAGCCAAACCACAUGGAAGAUAACUGCUGGAGGAAGGAGGGCAAAUGUCUGCGAUGUGGAAGCGCAUACCACCAGUUGGCUACUUGCCCAGUCCUAAAAUAAGACGGAAAUGGGAGUCAACCACCGUCGAGGACCAAUGCUGGACCAGUUAAGGGAGAUGGGUCCAAACCGAAGGUGCCAGCUAGAGUGUAUUCGUUAGGACCCCAACAGGUCCCAGAUUCCUCAGAGGUCAUAGAAGGUACGAUCCUUAUUUUCCACCGUUUUGCCAAAGUUUUAAUUGAUCCUGGUGCCACUCAUUCCUUUGUUAACCCUGAUUUCAUGUGUGGCAUCAAUAUAAAACCUGCUAGUUUAUCAUACGACCUAGAAGUUAGUACACGUAUGGGGAAUCAACGUUUGGUUACUAGUAUGGUUUAUAGGGAUUGUGAAGUGUGGGUAGGAGAGAAGAGAUUGUUAAGGGAUUUAAUUAGUCUGGCCAUCAAAGGGUAUGAUGUAAUUUUGGGUAUGGAUUGGCUAGCCAAGUAUAAUGCCCAACUGGAUUGUAAAACGAAAGUGGUAGCAUUUCGUAUUCCCGGUGAGGCAACCUUAAUGUUGGAUAUAAGGGGUAGGUUAGCCUCAUCUGCUUUGAUUUCGGGCAUUCGGGCUAGGAAACUGGUAAGUAGAGGGGCGCAAGGAUUUUUAGCCUUUCUGAUUAACACCCCCUCGGAUAAGUUAAAAGUGGAGGACGUGGCCAUAGUAAAGGAAUUUCCGGAUGUAUUUCCUGAUGAGUUAGUAGCCCUACCUCCGGAAAGAGAGAUAGAAUUCAAGAUAGACAUGCUCCCUGGAAUUUCACCCAUUUCAAAAACACCAUACCGAAUGGCCCCUGCAGAGCUCAAGGAGCUAAAGUUGCAAUUAUAGGACCUUCUGGAGCGGGGAUUCAUUCAAGAGAGUGGGUCUCCUUGGGGAGCUCCUGUCCUGUUUGUCAAGAAAAAAGACGGAGGUUUGAGGAUAUGUAUCGAUUAUCGGGGCCUAAAUAAUAUUACGGUUAAGAAUAAGUAUCCACUGCCCCACAUAGAUGAGUUGUUUGACUAGUUGCAGGGAGCGGUGGUCUUCUCGAAACUGGAUCUCCGCCAAGGGUAUUACCAGUUAUUAAUCAGGAAGGAAGAUAUUCCGAAAACCGCCUUCAACUCGAGAUAUGGGCAUUACGAGUUCGCAGUUAUGCCCUUUGGAUUAACCAAUGCUCCUGCCGCCUUCAUGGACCUAAUGCAUAGGGUUUUUAAGCCCUACCUGGAUCGAUUUGUCGUAGUCUUCAUCGACGACAUUCUGGUCUAUUCCAAGACACGUGAAGAGCAUGAGCAGCACUUGAGGAUUGUCUUACAAACCCUAAGAGACCAUCAACUGUACGCCAAGUUCAGCAAGUGCGAAUUUUGGCUGGAGAAAAUUUCUUUUCUGGGACACGUAAUUUCUCAAGAGGGUAUUUCAGUUGACCCGGCGAAAGUAGAGGCUGUGACUAAUUGGAAGAGGCCAGAAAACCCCACAGAGAUCCGCAGUUUUCUAAGGCUAGUUGGGUAUUACCGACGUUUCAUUAAAGACUUCUCUAAAUUAGCAGGUCCUUUAACUGACCUGACAAAGAAACAUGGUCGGUUCUUAUGGAAUGCCCGAUGUGAGACGAGUUUUCAAGAAUUAAAGAAAAGAUUGACCAUGGCUCCAGUGCUAGUCUUACCAAACGGAGUGGACAGAUUUGCUGUGUAUACUGACGCGUCACGAGAAGGCCUGGGUUGUGUAUUAAUGUAGAACCGUAAUGUGAUCUCUUUUGCCUCUAGAAAGUUGAAACUUCAUGAGCAAAAUUACCUGACCCACGAUCUGGAGCUAGCCGCCGUUGUUUUCGCACUGAAAAAGUGGAGACACUACCUAUAUGGGGUGACCUUUGAAGUGUACUCGGACCAUAAGAGUCUUAGGUACCUCUUUUCACAGAAGGAAUUAAACAUGAGGCAGCGACGGUGGAUGGAAUUUUUGGAGGAUUACGACUGUACCAUCAACUACCAUCCAGGAAAGGCGCAAGUAGCAGGGUUAAUGAUUAAAGAGUGGAAUUUGCUCGAGUCAGUUUGCGAGUGGAAACCCUACCUUGGGAGUCAUAAAGUGAUUUUUGGUAACAUUAAGGUAACCUCCACCCUUUUGGAGCGGAUAAAAGAAGCGCAAAAAGAGGAUGCUAUGGUACGGAAGUGGGGAGAGAAAGUGAAAAAAGGAGAAACGACUGAUUUCAAUUUCAGUCCUGAGGGUAUUUUAAAAUACCGGAACCGAAUAGUGGUGCCGAAAGAUGAGUCGUUGAAAACGGAAAUUUUAGCGGAAGCUCAUCGGUCCAAGUAUACAAUCCAUCAGGGUAGUAGUAAGAUGUAUCAGGGCCUGAAAUGAACCUAUUGGUGGGAUAAUAUGAAGAAGGAAAUCGCUCUGUACGUGCAAAAAUGUCUCGUUUGCCAACAGGUUAAGGCGGAACAUCAAAAACCAUCGGGCUUGUUACAACCCCUUGAGAUACCCGAAUGGAAGUGGGAGAACAUCACAAUGGACUUUGUUUCAGGUUUACCACGAACGCAACGAGGACACGAUGCCGUUUGGGUAAUCGUCGACCGGUUAACCAAAUCGGCUCACUUCCUGCCGGUAAACAUGAAGUAUUCCAUGGAUAAGUUGGCCCAGCUGUACAUGGCCGAGAUCGUAAGGCUACACGGUGUUCCAGUCAGUAUCGUCUCCGAUCGAGAUCCACGUUUCGUAUCUAGAUUUUGGCAGAAAUUUCAUGAAACGCUAGGGACGAAACUCAACUUGAGCACGACCUAUCACCCUCAGACGGAUGGACAAUCGGAGCGAACCAUCCAAACUCUUGAGGAUAUGCUACGGACUUGCAUUCUGGAUUUUGGAGGCAACUGGGGUCAACACAUGACCUUAGUAGAGUUUGCGUACAACAACAACUACCAUUCGUCGAUUCAAAUGGCUCCAUACGAGGCACUAUAUGGACGAAAAUGCCGAUCACCGAUCUACUGGGAUGAAAUUGGUGAGAGAAAGGCCUUAGAUCCAACCACUAUUCCAUGGAUGGAGGAGGCGCGAGAAAAGGUGAAGCUAAUACGGCAACGACUCCAAACAGCUCAAAUUCGACAAAAGAGCUACGCAGAUAAUUGAAGAAAAGACUUGGAGUUCGAAGUUGGAGACCGUGUUUUCCUCAAGGUUACACCGUUAUGGAGUGUCACGACGGGUAGAGGAAAGAAAUUACAACCGAGGUUCGUCGGACCUUACAAGAUCCUGCAGAGAAUAGGUGCGGUAGCAUAUAGGCUAGAGUUGCCGUCAAGUCUCUCGAGAAUUCACGACGUUUUCCACGUUUCGAUGCUCAAGAAGUACUAUCCCGACUCAUCCCAUAUCUUACAACCAGAAGAGAUCGACGUAGACGAAUCGCUUGCUUACGAAGAGAAACCUGUCCAAGUGCUUGACCGAAAAGUCAAAGAGCUAAGAAACAAGCAGAUUCCGUUGGUUAAAAUACUGUGGAGAAACCAUGGGGUAGAGGAAGCUACCUGGGAAGUGGAAGAAGAAAUGCGAAAGAAAUACCCUGAACUUUUCGUGAGUUAAGGUGAGAAAUUUCGCGGGCGAAAUUCUUUUAAGGGGGAGAGAGUGUGAGAACCCGUAAUUUUUCCCUUUUCUAGGUUUUAUUAUAUUUAAUGGCAUGUUUUCUGCAUUUUCUUUAUUCAAAAAGUUUCCAGAUAAUUUUUAUGAGUAAAUAUAGUUUUUAGGUGAGUUUUCUAGUAUUGGUUAGUUUUUAAGAAAUUAAGAGCGUAUACCGGACGUGGGACCCACUAAGGCGAAAAGUUCGGAAAAAAUCGGCCAACUAGGUUAAGUUUGGAACACUGGGUUUAAAUUAUUGGGUGCUAAGAGAUAAUUAGAGGUUGCUAUUUGGAUUGGUGUGAGAGGAAACAAAGUGAUAGCUAUGCAUUUAAUAAAGUGACAAGUGUCACAUAGAGAUUGGUUGUACUUGAUGACCACUAUUCACCUUUUACCAUUUGACCAAAUAAAUCAAAAAAUUACCAAAAAUUCACCAUUUUUCUUCCUCUUCUUGGCCGGCCACCUCAAGCAAAAAGAAAGGGAAAAACUCUUCAAAUAUUUGCUUCUAUCUUGCUCAAAUUCAACAAAACAACCAUUUGAUCUUGCAUUUGUUCCAUAAAACCCCUUCAUUUAGUGAUUGUGAGGUGUUUAGUGGAGUUGUUUGGAAGGAUAAGGUGAUUAGUUUCUCUCUCUCUUGUAUUACUAAGGUGAGUAGUGAAGGACCCCUCUCCUCCAUCUAAUGAUGUUUCAUUCAUGAUUUGUGGUAGUUUAAGAUGUAAUUUUAUGGAUUAUAUCUUGAUUUUGGUUGAAUUGGUGAUGUUUUAUAAUUAUUGGUGAUUUUUCUGUUUUCAUAUGAUUAUUAUUAUGGGGUCAUGUAUGAUGAUUGGAAAUGAUAUUUAAGGCAGCUAGAAGGUGAAAAAAGUGGUUAAUUGCAGGAAAUUUCUGUUUUGGAAGAAAUUUGGAAAGUUAGGGUUUCAAGUUCUUACAUUCUGCCCGGCACUGUAGGUUAUAGUUAGAGGCCGAAUUGGCCUUGGGUUAAAACAUGAAAGUUGUAGGGAAUGAUAUUAUAGGGAUGGCUACAAAAUUGCAGGUCAAUCGGAGCAACGUAGCUUGAGAAAAGACUGAAAUACCCCUACUACCCUGGUUCUACCCGAAUUUGAUAAUUGCGUCUGUAAUUGGGUAAUUUGGUUGGGAAUGCUUCUGAUUUGGUUGUUGGUGCCUUCUGAUUAAUUGUAUCCUUGUAUCUUAUCUUUAGGAUGGCUUUGGAAUCACUUGAUUUGGACUUAGGUAGCCUGACUUAUGAUAUUUGAACCAGAAUGUGGUUUGUGAACCUAUUUUUGCGGUCCUGGUUUAGUAUCUUGCAUUUUUGACCCAGUUACACUCGAAACUGGGUAGAGUAGCCUUUUUCAACAUUGUAUCCCUAUCUCUUAGCUUCGAAACGGUGUAUCUUUCACCUCCAUCCGAUAAUCGUAGUGCCAAUGGUGCCAAAACCGUAAACGGAUGUCAAAAACUAUUUUUUUUGGGUUAGAACUUAAUGCCAUUUCUGGAUUUUCCUGGUUUACUCUAGUGCUUAUACAUUCUAGUGGAACCUUAUUUUGGUGGUAUUUGGCAUUGGUUAUGACUUGUAAUUGAGCCUUAUUAUGCUUAUUUGAAUGUUCUAGGCCGUGACGGUGGUGCAAGACGCUCUUAGGCGGAAGUGCAUGAAAUACCAUUUGCUUGAUUGGUGAGUGUACCACUCACUUGUUGUUUACAAUGUGGCUUUGGUAUAUGUGAACUUGAUGCCUUGAAGGCUUAUUUGCUUCAUUGAACUUAAUUAAGUGAGGGUGUACUUGAUCGCCCUCACCCAUUUGGUAUAUCAUAUGACUGUCUACUGUUUUACUGCAAUGAUUGAAUGAUACAUGAAAUACUGAAUUGGUUCAUGAAUUUGGUGUCGCUUGGACGAGUAUACAACGACCAUUACUGAUACGACUGAGCUCAACCCCAUUGGUAGUCGAUUGGAUCGAGCCGGCGAGGGCUUGGUCGUGAAAAUUGAUGAGCCAUGGGGACUGUUAUAUGAAAUCUUGUAGUAGUGAGACUCUUGAUUCCGGUAUACUCGAGUAUUACCAAAUUUCUAUUGUUUGGAGUUCGGGCACGGUAGGGGUAUGUUGGGUGGAAGGAAUGGAAGUAAAGUGGAGCCUACGGUUGGUUACUCUUAAACAUUGACGGAGGGUCAAUGAGAUCCGAUCAAGAAUGCAAACGAGGAAAAGGGCUCUUGAGAGCCGCCCGUAUCCUUUUAUCACCACUAUUGAUGUGUGCCUUUGCUUACUUUUGAUGUAUUGGAAUGAAAAACUUGAUGCUUAUAUGAACUUGGUUGCUUGAGUGGUAUUAUCUCACUGGGCGUAAGCUCACUCUAUUCCCUUUUGUUUUCCUUACAGGAAAAUAAAUACUUCUGGACUGGAUUUGAUAGUUGGUUGCCGAAUUGAGCUAGAUGGACAUAUCUUUUGUAUAACUCCUUGAUUGAAACCCUAAAUGUACUUUUGGGUCCGUUUCUCUUUUGAUUUGGCAAACCGUACAUGUAUCCACUUUUGAAUAACUUUUGUAUGCCACUUGGGAUUGUAUAUGCUUAAUUUCAACAUGUAAAUUUUUGCUUGAUGUUUGGUUGGGUUUUGACGUGUCGGUUACUAUUCAUGGCCGACUCCGGUUUCAUUUUUUUUAUCUUGACAUUUUGACUUGUUUACGCGCGUUUGUAUGUUCCGGAACGUAUUAGAUCGCUCUAAACUGAGCCAUUAGUCCUAGCGAGAGUUGGGUAGGCAGUCCGCUAACCCCUUUGGUUCGCCUUAGGAGAAGGUGGGGCUGUCACAUUUCUAGCUUAUAACCGAUUGGAAGAAAGACAUGAAUAUUCUAUUUUUAACUUGAAUUUUGAAUGGAUUUUUGCUAAGGUUUAAUGCUUUAUACUUUGACAAUGUUCAUAUGGAGUUUUAGGGUGUUUAAUGUUGAAAUGAUGUGGGAAAGUUUGGAAAGUCAGAAUGAAUUUUGAAACUAAAAAAUGUUGCUGGAAAGCUGUUAAGUAGCCGAGGAGAGAGAGAGAGCUGGAAUUCUCCACCUUUAUCUUCAAACGUUUGGUUUAAUUUUGAUAUGUUCUGCUUAAGACAUCUUAUGGUCUCUUAAUCACAAUUUGCAUGCAGAAUCCCAUUAAUUUAAAACAAGAAAAUUGUGUUGUGUUUGGAAGAAAAAGAAGUGUUUCAUUUUCUGGAAACUUUGGCAACCUUAGUCUUGGCUUUCAGUUGGAAUUUCGGAUGGACUCUUGCUAUGAACUGUGUUAUAUGUACCUUGAUUUAUGUUGUAUAUGAUGAAUUGUGAGUUGUGUGCAGGAAUUACAUUAGAGGUUUGGAAGAAUUAGGGUCAGUGUGCUGAAUUUUUGUAAACUUGACACCAAAACUUGAUUUUUAGCAUAACUUUUCUAUCAUUGCAAUUUCGUGACUAGUAAAUUGGCACAAAUGUAGUAAAUUUUCUUGGUUGAGGACUGUUUUCAUAUGAAACUAGUUAAUUAAACAUCAAAAUGCUAUAUUAUGGCCUAGGUUUAUAAUUUUAGGAGUUCAGAUCCUUGAACUAGUUCUUAAAAGUUAAUAAUUGACUAAACCCUAAUUUUUGACAUAGGCGUCUACUUUUGUGAAAUUAGAUAUGAGAAGGGGAAAACUUAGUUCUUAAACCUUAUACUAAGGAAAUAAACAACAACUAUAAGCGUUCAUAUCGAUUCCAAAAGCCAAGUUUGAGCUAGAAACACAACCCUACACCGAGGUGUGAACUUCAAUUACUUAAAGCUUGGUGAAUGUCCUAUAUUUGUUUGUAAUGAUUGAAUACAUGAUCAAUGAUAAAUGUUAUGUGCUUAGUUGACUAAUACUUGUUGGAUUAUUGAUGUUUGAAUUGUUUGAGUGAAAAUUGACAAUUGCUACUAUUUACUGAAAGGUGAGCGCAUACUUUAUUGCACUCAACCUAAGUGAAUUUUGAAAAUAAUAAAUGCCUAAUUGUUACUGAAAUUGUGCAUGAAUGUAAGCCGAGUAUGUACUUUAUCACAUCAUUUGAACUGGGCCCCAAACCCCACUGUUGGAUAGUCUAUUCGAACCGGUAACAGGGUUGGUCGAGUAGGCUAGAAGACAUUGGGUACUGAAAUGUUUGGUAUGCUCGAGUAUUACCCCCUUAAUAAGGCGCAUGUGGAAGUGACAAAGUGAUUAAUAAUUGAAAGGGAUUGUUUACUGUUUUGGAGGAUAUAAGGAGGAGAUUGGUGGAGUGUGAAGUGAUUGCAGGAAGUUGUGCAAUGAAUUAUUGAACGGAGCUAAGUGCUACGUUUGGAAACGGACGGGAGCCACCUCUAGAGUCCGUAUUAGUACCGUAUCCUUUGAUAUUGAUUGUGUUAUUUGUUAAGAAUUGUUUCACGAAUUAUCCUAUUAUUAAUUGGUUUGUUAUUCCCAUUAUAUUACUGAAAAUGUGAAAUUGUGUGUUUAAGGUUACUUGUUUUCCUAAAACCUCACCGGGAGUAAGCUCAUGCCUUUAGUUUGUUUUCCAUAAUAGAGGUUGGAAACGUGGAAUUGGGGAAUAGUGAGCUUGAGAGUUGAAAUCUUUGUUUUAAAUGAAUUGCCAUCCUAUUUAUACUUACUGAAUUGAUUGAACAACUUAUAUUUUGAUCCGUUUGGUUGUACAUAUAAGUAUGGAUGAUUUGGAAUGUUGGAUGGUUUGUAGUGUUUAAUUGUGGUCUUUUAAUGCUUACUUUGGAUUUAAUGCUAUUGAUUGGAAGAUUUUGAGUGAGUCCUGGCUAGUGUUAGGUAGGCGGCCUGUUAAAUCUUAGGGUACACCCUAAGGGGAGGUAAACUUGUCACAUAUUAGCUAUCAAAUCUACAUUUAAUGCUUGGUUUAUACACUUCUUGUAUUAUGUCCAUUGAUUAUUUUAUUAUAGUGGCUUGGUCAAGCUUCUCGUGGCGUUAGAUUUUUGUUGGAGCUUUCGUUAGUAGUGAAGUUGCAAUUAUUAUAUUGGCUUUGGGUCAUUAGCUUUUUAUAUCUAUUUCUCUAUUGUCUGCCGCAUCUAUUUUGUACCAUCUUUCCUGCUCUUUAUUUUAGUUUCUCUACUUUGCAUUUGCUUGGGUAAGCCAUUUGCUUGCUUUCCUUUAAUUGCUCUUAUUCUCAUAUUUUCUUUUAUCUUUGAUCACAUGAAGUUAUAAUUGUUUUUCAUGUGAUAAUUGUUUUUCAUGUGCUGGUGUUCAUGUUUAGUCUUCUUUUCUUAGUAGAUUCCUCAGCGUUGCUUCACUUCAGCUUUGUAGUCAACGAAGCUGUAUUUAUUGCCCUUGUUCCUUGUGUUGAUCGUUUGCUUUUAAAGUAUCUACAUUUAUCUACUUUCUGCUCUUAUGUUCGAAGUAAUGUUGUUAUCAUUUUCUCUUCACUAUUAAUUACGUUAGAAUAUCUAUUGUUUUGUCAUGGUUAUUUUUUAUUUAUUGCUUAAUAUAGAAAGUUAUUUUUGUUUGUUGUAGCUUUUCGAUUUCCAUUGAAUCUAAAUAUUUUGUUAUGUCUGCUUAACAGAAAAAGAUGAAAGAAACAUGGGUAAUUCGUUCUCUUUGCGUGCAAUCUCUCCUUCUGAGAAGCUGAUCGGCAGAUUUGCCUUCGAUCUCUCUCUUCCUUAGAGUCCAUUACAUUUCAAUGAACCGUAAAAAAUUCAAUCCCUCGAUUUGUUCUGGCGAAAGCUUUCCCCAGUAUGGUAUAUAUAGAUUCUAAUGAUGAUUUGCCUAUGCUUCUGCCGGGCCUCAACCCAAGUCGCAGCCGAUGGCGCUCAAGAUAGCAUCUUUGGAGGAAAAGAACAAGGAAAAAUAAACAAGAAGAAAAGGGAUGUUUCCGAAUCAGGAGAUAAUAGUUUCCAGGGAUCUGAUGAUGAUCAAUGCAGAAUCUGUUUGUCUGGUUGCAGAGAUGAUUUGCCAUACUUGUGGAGGGUUCGUCCAAGGUGCAAGCACGGAUUUCAUGCAGUUUGCAUUUAUAAAUGGUUAAAGACUAAUGCAACCUGUCCAAUAUGUCGCCAGAGUGUUUAUGUUACGUGAUUAAUCACUAGGGUUUUUUCUUAAUUAGAGAUAAAUAUUAAAAGUUCUUUGUAGCUAGGAGUCUUAUCUUGGAAAAUUUUGUAAGUUGUAUAUAAUCAAAUUCUUUAACCAAAGCUGGUAACCUAAAAAAAAAAAAAAUUUUGUUAUGUUGGCUAACUUCAUUAAUUAAUAGCAAAAUUUAAGGAAUCUUCUGAUUUUUUCUAUUCACGUGUCUUUUUCUUCUUAGAUUGGGUUUUUGCAUUGUUCUACACUUAAUUUAUCCUUCUUCAUGUAUGAACAACCAAGCUAUUGCUUUAGCCAUUUAACAUUUUUUCCCUCUUUAUCUUAUACUAUAUUUUGCUUUUGCUCACUAUAUUUAGUUUUUCAUUACCUUGCUAGUUCAUUUAAUAAACCCUAGCUUGAUUGUCUUACUCGACUCUCAUUAUUUAGGUAAAGCAAUCUUUUGUUCAGCUAAUUCCUUUUUCUCUACUCAGUGUAUUCUGUUUUCUUUGUUUUUCUCUUACAAGUCAUAUUUACUGCUCUAUUUUAUUAACACUAUUGAGGAUUCUUAUCUCUCUUAUAUAUACUCCUUCUAACUAAUUCAACCUUUGAAUGGCUUGUCAUUGUUAUUGUUGCACACCAUAGUUAACAUAAUUCUCUUCAUUUUAGCUGCUAUCACAUAUGGGUCAGAAACAUAAAUUUUCAUAAGAAGAUGAAUAUUGUUUAGAAGAAACCGUCACAACCUUGAAAGAUAUAUUAGGAAAAUAGUUUAGCAUAAAAAGGCAGCCCUCUUGCCUACUGAGCAGCAAAGUACUGAGGCACAAAUUUCAUUUGUGAUUCCUGUUGUUCCAAUGACUGAGUGUCGCGCCCCAUUUUUUAAUAAGAAAAAUAAUGAGUUUAGAAAAAUGGACUUUUUGAUUUUUUUGGAAAAAAUGAGUUUUGUUUUUUUAGAAAAUGAAUAAAGGAAAAGGGCCUAAAUGGGACUUGUAAUGUGACGAUUUGGGCCCAAAUUAUAGUUCGAAAAGGGUUUUUGAAAUAAAAAUCGGAGUCGCCACUUGGUAUAGAGUUAAGAUGUACCAAGUCACCUAAAAUGAUUUUUUAGAUAAAAUUAUGGAAAACCCUUUUUCAAACGACUCCUAAGUCUACGAAAAUCAGAGAAAGUGUACGGGAGUCACAUUUGACGAAGGGGAAGGCAAGGAUAGAAAUCUGAGGCACCCCUUCGACCUAGCCAAGGCUAGUUGCGUGAUUUAGUCAAAAGGUUUUCUUGUUUUAACCAAAGAAUUUAUCACAUUUGGAUGUACUAUAUGAAUGCAAACGCUAAACCUAGGAGGGCAUCGGGGGGUCAAAAUAUCCCUUCGAAGUUAAUUGGUACCAAUUAUAUUAAUUGUGACGCCCAAUAAAGAUUUUUCGAAGAUGUCACGAAUAAUGCAAAAAUAUGAGACUCUAAAAAAGGAAAAAGAACAAGAUAAUUAUAUAAAUACAAAUAUACGUGACCUAAGGGAAUGCAUCAUGUCGGGUACGGGGGACUAAUGUUCGUGACUCAAUUUUCCCUUUUAAUAGAGGGAAUACGAGCGUGCUAAGGCUAGAAAAGCCAAACUCGUCCAUAUCCCAUAUCCAAGGGGUUUUCCCUAAUCUAAUGAAGCAAAUGCACUACCCUAAUCCUAUUUCUAGAAUGAAAUGCAAUUCUAAUGUUAUGUAUCAUACAUAGGGGGGAUAUAUAUAGGAAAAUUAGGGAUAAGGGCUAUAUGUAUAAGGGGUAUAUCAUACAAAAUGAUAAAAGACCCUAGAAAGUAAAAUAUGCAUGAGAUUAAAUGAUUUUAUCACACAAUCAUGAUCUAUCGCGCGAAGGGGCUCCUAAGGGUCUAGCGUUGGACUAGCCCAUAUUUCUACUUUCUCACUAGCGUUGGACUAAUGAGAAAUCGAACAAAGAGCCACAACUAGCAUUGGACUAGUGCGGAUUCAGGAACGGCGGCCACAAUUAGCGUUGGACUAGUGUGGUGACGACAUGCAUUUAUUACAACCAAAUAAAUCAUGUAAGACCUAAUAAAAGCAUAUAAACACAUAAAUCAUAUAUAGCACAUAACACACGAGCAUGAUAUAUAGAUGCAAGACCCUAAGAAAGCGGUAACACAUAGCACAUAGACAUGCAAAACACACAUAAGGCAAGUAAAACAAAUAAAGCCCUAACUAUUACAUUUGAGGGGGGCCCUACUACAAUCUAAAAGGGGGAAAUGAAAUAAACGAUUAAAAUAAAUACCUAACUAUUACAAAUUUGGCAUUCAAGUGCCUCUUCAAAUAAUUGAAAUUGAAAAUAAAAUAAGUAUUCAAAAUUUCAACAAAUAAAGCAAAUAAAACAUUCAAUAAAGACAUACAAUUAAACACAUAAGAGUCACAUAAUGCACAUAGGGUCAAAUAAAGUAAAAAUAAGGGAUAGAGUGUACCUCCCUUGAGUUGGAGCUCUAAUGACACGAAUUUACUUAUUUACCCUCCAAAAUAAUAAAAGGGUCAAGGCAUCACUUUAAUUAAUAAUUAAUGAAAUAAAAAUUAAACACCCAAAUAACAACUAAACACCAAAUAAAAAUUAAACACAAAAAUGAAAAUUUGAACCCAAAAAUGGAAUUACUUAAAAUAAAUCGUCUAUAUUAAAGAAAUUAAAGCGAACAAGAGUCUAAUUGAAAUAAUUAAAAAAUUUCUAGGAUUAGUACUAGAAUUAAUGACUCAUGAUGGAAUUUACCAAAAUAAAAAAUGCUAAAAAUUUCACAAACAAAAAUCAAAGAAAUCACUUGUUACGAUUAAACAACAAAAUACUUAAAAAUAUCACUAAAAACUCAAAUCAUAAAUCCCUCAAACACUAUUAAACCUCAAGAUUUCAUUCUAAGAUUCAUGAAUAACCCGUCCAAAAACCACAUUAAAGCAUACCAAUUAAAAUCAACAAUUUAAUGGGACCAAAUUGAUCAGUCUUCCCAAUUCUUCGGGCCAUAGUAACAUCAUGGGGGACUUGAGAGGACAAAAUGCAAUUUUUUAAAGUUUUGCAUGCAAAUGCUUCCAAGGACUCUCGGCAAUGCAACUGAACUUUUUCAUUAUAGCUUUUGGGUUAUCUGAUGCAAUCUUUUCUCAUCCGAACACAGCUAACAACUUAACCAAUCAAAAGCUUGGACUGAAGUAACUAGAUUACCAAAACUUUUCCAUUUUCUAGCCACAAAAUCUGUGACGCCCCCACUUCUCCCUAAGGCGAACCAAAGGGUAUCCGCGGAACGCCUGCCUAACUCUCGCCAGGACUCAAGCAAUUCCAUUCAGACUUAUUAUCGGACCAUACAGUACGAUCAAUAACCUAGAUACAAUAAAUGCGGAAGCGUUCAAGUUUAAUAAAAGUCAUCCAUUAUCCAACCCGCACAUCGGGUGUUCAACAACCAUCAUAAAUCCCAAAUAUACAUCAUGCUCCAAAAGUUACAUUCGGAUUUCAAAAAUACAACCCAAAAGCCAAGACAUAGCCAAAAGUAAUAGAAACCCUAAACAAAAGCGUAUCAGGAAGGUUUCUUCGAUACCUUGCCAAGUUCAAUCCUGUUAAGGAAAACAAAUCUACAGGGUGAGCAAAACGCUCGUGAGGCCAAGAACACACAUACAAGCACAUUACUCAAAUAACAAUCUCAAUUUACAAGUCAAGAAAUCAUAUUUUAUUAAUUAACAAUUUACUGGAAAUAUAACCAGAAACAAUUCAAGGAUACUGGAGCCCUCAGGAGCUAUAUUCCACUUGCACAUUCAAUAACCUCCACGAAUUGACACUCCGUCAAUCGGGUAGGUUUAGUCCGUAGAACUCCACUUAACCUAUCCCCUUUCACCUUACAUACCCCUAUAUCGGGCCCGCCUGUCAUUUGUUUGUGGCGAUACUACUCGAGUAUGCCAAGCAAGACCUCUCACUAGGUCAAGCUUAUAUAUCUCAUGGCUCGCCAAGGUUCCCGACCGAGCCCAUGCCGGCUCAAGUCCAAGGUCGGUCAAUGAGAUUUGGGCGUCCCCAUGUGCACUUGUGUGUCGAGGAGAUUCACUCCAACGACGUAGGCAACUAUAGCAUACCAUUACAUUUCAUUCAUUCAUUCAAUACAUGUCAAUCAUUCAUUCAAUGCAUGUCAAUCAUUCAUUCAAUGCAUUUCAAUCAUUCAUUCAAUACAUUUCAACCAUUAAUAUUUCAUUUCUAAUGAGAACGAGUGUGGUAAAGUACACACUCGACUCCACUUUCAAGAUUUCUAAUCAUUAAUAACAAUUAAACAUGUAACAAGUUUACAUACACCUGACACUCACCAAGUAUUAGGUGUAAGUAAGGUCAAGGAAAGUUCAAGCGUCCACCGUGGGAUCCUCUUGAAGGUCCUCGUGUGCGCCUGAGGAAAUAAUAGUGAAUUAUCAUCCAAAUCCCAAAUAUCGAGGAAUAAUUCGUUCACUAGUAUUAAUCUAGGGGAUUCCGUGAAAAUGAACCUCAAUUACUCGUAAAUCGAGGUUUGAGAGGGGUUUGAUAACUUUCAAAAGUAUUUAAGUCUUUAUCUAGGAAAUCGGGGAUAAAACGUUUAGAUAAUAUCAAAAGAAUAAAGAGUUCUUGAAAAACUUAUUUCCUUGAAAGUUGGAAAUUUUCAGUUUUGUUAUGAAUCUUUGAAAAAUCGUAACUCACUCGGCAUAAGUCGAGAAUUGGAAAACUUUAUACCGUUGGAAACCUCUUAAAAAGUACUACAAGUUCCUAGAAGACACUUUUCCAUGAAUCGAAGUGGAAAGUGCUCAAAAAUGAGCUUGAAGGUACUGUUCCAAAUCACCCAGGAUUGAGCCGGGGUUGAUUUUUCGCUAACUUUGAAAAUUCGGCAGAAUUUACUCGUUGUAAACCAGCCCUUGAAAUUUAUAGCUCAAUUAUAGGUGCAAGCAAGGUUUAGGACAGAACAAGCGGAUCGAGAAUUGGAGUUUCGAGUACCAAGAUAUGGUAGCUCAAAGUUGGGUAAAUUUCAAGACUGUUAACAAAUUUCCAGAUUUGGUUCCGACUUUGGACCUUUAGUUAAGUGUCGGAACGGACUUGGAUUGAUACCAAAUUUUGUAGUAUAAUACUCCUAUAUGAAGGGUAUCUCUCUAUCAAAUUUCGUGGAAAAAUAACUUCGGGAAGAUGGUUAACCAAUCAACCAAAGUUUGAAAUUACUAAGGCCAAACUGCCUUUAGCUCUCUUUCUCUCUGUUUCCAAACAUUCGGCUAAGGAAAAACCUCCAAACAUGGUUCAUUUGUGCAAGAAAGGUCUAAGUAACAUACAUGGUACUUUUAGUAGGUGUUUAGCACCAAGAAAUUCAUUUAGUAAAACCACAACAAGUCUCACAUCUAAUCUGUCCAAAUCUAAGAGUUUUCAAAAACGAGGCAGUCGUCGUAUUUUGAUCAUAAAUCACUCAAUUUAGCUCGGAAUUGGGAAUGGUUGAUAGUGUUGGAAAAUACAUUCAUAGGGAUAAAAUUUCACAGAAUAAAUCAUUUUAAGUUUCAGCAUGCAACUGGCUCGAAAUUAAGCCUAAAGUUACAGCAUCAUCAAAUCAUUUCGGCAGAACGGAGAAACAGGGCAGCUGAAUUCAGAAGAGUGGUGCGGUUCACACACAUGGAACCAGAAUGUGCAUUAUAUACCUCUGGAAAUAUGGGAACGUAUAGUUUCAAAUUCCGCUAACGGCACUUGAUUUCGACGUCGGAGUACGGAGUUAUGGACGAAAUACGAACACUGGUCUGGUUACGACGGAAACCGUUUUCCAGAUUACUAGCUUUGGGAAAUAAAUUCUUUUGAUCAACCAAAACUCAACAUUUUUCAACGACAAUUUUUACACAACUACUACAACAUGUAAAAAACACAAUCAAGCUAUUAAAUCUCCUAAUUUCUGCAUUAAAGUGGCUGAACAGAGCAGGGGCAAAAUGGUCAGAUUUGGCCUUUGCGCCUAACGUGAGUUUCUAUCAAUUUUCCAUCAACAAACCACUGAUUUAAACACUAAUUCCACAUUAUAAACAUCAUCAAGAACAAAAUCAGCAGCAACCCAAGAGUGGGAAUUCAUAGAGCCCACUUUUCCAAUUUUCCAACAUCCACAACAACCCAUAAGAAAUCAAGAGCUAAAAGAUAUACUAGAACUUCCAAAAAUCAAAGUUAGAAGGCUAGAUUAAGACUUACUCUUAGUUGAUGUCUAAGUCAGAGAUUCGGUCCUUCCUUGCUCCUAAGUGAGCCAUGAAAAUCCUCCCCUUUUUAGCUAGAUGUGAACUCCAAGGCUUAGGCUAAGUGGUGCUAAAUUUUGAGAAGAUUUGGUGGUGAUUUGAAUGGUUUUUGUAGAGGAAAUGUUGAAGAGCUUUCGGUUGUCCCUUGGCUGUCUGCUAUCCGUCCAUGGCAGCUAGAAGAAAUGAAAUGUUGGUCUGAUUCCUUUGCGUACAAAUGAAGCUUGCCGUCUAAUAUUUUAAGUACGUAAAAAUCAAUUGCAACUAGUGCGCCUACGCGCGCGUUUUGUGUUCGAUUUCUCUUAAGUUUGUUGCACUAGUGCACUAAACCUCUAGGGCACUUACAUUCAUAUAAAUAUUAUUCAUUCUUAAUUGUCCCAAAAUAAUGGUCCAAGGUCUCUCAAUUAAGCGCGCACGUGAAAACACGUAUUUCCAAUUUAGGCGCGAUAAAAUGAAACUUUCGAGAAAUUCUUAUAACAAUCGUACUACCAACUAUCACUUGAGUUUUUAAACCUAAAAUUGCCUAUUUUAGGACCAUUGUAUAUGUCUCAAAUUUUUGAGCUUAUUGUACUCCCAAUUGGCUAAAGUGUUUAGACACGUUUUCACUUUUCACUAAACAAGCUUAUAAGAAAAUAAUUUUUUGAAACGAGACACUUCAAAAAUAUAACGAAACUAUAAAACCCUGUACUUAGGUCUAAUAAGGUUAGAAAAUAUUAUUCGUGGCAAAAAUCCAAAUAAAUAAUUAAUUUAGCCAAAAUUAGGGUUUUUAAAAAUAAUAGAUUUUCGAGUCCUCACAAAAUCCUUAUGUUUAAGCACAAAAAAUUAGAUGAAAAAAUCACGCAAACAUCAAAGAACAACAUUCUGCAAUUUUUUUUCAGCCACGAUUCUCUACCAUUGCUGUGUUUGUCCUAUGUAAAUUUCCAUCCAAGCACAGCCACUACUUCAACCAAUCAUCAAGCUUAGAUUCGGAACAACAAAAUACAGAAAAUCAAUAUCCAAACAAGUAAAAGACAGGAACGCAAUCCUCUUGGCAGAAGCUUUCGACAAAGUCUGAUGCUUUGGCCUCAGCAACCUCAAUCGACAAUUUUAAACAAGAAAAACAGUCUCAAAUUCUCGUUAAACUCCCUAAAACCAUCAUCAAGAUGCAAUACAACAGAAAGUGAAAUCUGAGUUGGGGUAAAAGUUUGCUAACCCAUAUUCAUUUAUGAAAUCUAUUACAGAUGCUAUGGGUUCGUUGCCAACUAAACGAAAUAUGGGAUAAUCUCUAUACAAAGACAACUCAUGACCCACAACAGCACAUGACCCAGAUGCAACGGUAUGGGGUGAAGAUCUGAACCAACAACUUGUGGGAAACCAGGAGAACCGAAGCAAGAAAAAAAUGAAACCAGAAAAAAUUACAUACUGCAGCAUACCAACAUCAAUCUGAGUAUGUUUAAACAAGGAAAAUGGAAAGAAAAAGGCUACCUUGAAGACUUUAACCCGGGAUGCGUAGAAACCGUGAGCUUUGCCCGAUCAAAGGCUGAAAGUAGGCUUCGAAUGACAGCAGGGGUUUAAGAGUUGAUGGGUUCGUCAGUUCGAGCUUGGAUUUGGCAUUGUUAGAAACGUUUUUCCUCAGCCCUUGCCUGUGCUCAAGCUUCCUCGUUCUUUUCUUUUUCUCUGCUUUUUCCUCCUUGCCCGUAACCUCUCUCCGAUCUCUCCCCAGUUUCUCCAGCCCGUCACUCUUCUAGUUUGACCGUAGCUCCUUUUGUUCCCUUUCCUUCCUUUUUCCCUCGCCAAGCUUUCUCUACUCAGCCCGCCUCUCUUGUUAUGCCUCAAGCUUUUUCAUCAGCCGAACUCCCUUUUUUCUCUUCCCUCUCUCUCCCUACUCAGUUGUCAAUAUUCCUCAGCCCCCCAGAUCCUUCCUCGGCUUCCUUUUUCUCCCUCGCGGUGCUCUUUUCCUUUGUUUCUUUCCUUACCUCCGUUUCUCAGCCGCCACUUCCAGCUCUCCUUUAGACUCCUUCUCAACCCUAGCCGUCACUCCUCUCUCUGGUUUCUUCAGCCGUCCCCUCCUCCAAAUUUUUGAACCCUUAGCCUUGCUUUUAUAUCCCAUCCAAACCCCUUAAACCUCAUCUCAAUGGCUCUAAACAACCUCAGCUCCCUCCCUUAUUGUUAGCCAUUGAUUAUGGCUUUGAAUGGGAGCACUUAGAUGGAUCCCGAUGGCCUGUACUUAUCUCAUCUAACGGAGCCAGAAAAAUACAGUAAUGAAAAUAGAAGAAAGGCAAGAAACCGCAUAAGCUAUCUUUUUCUUUUUUUUUUAUUUAUUUUUUUCCAUCAUUCAUUUUCUUCCUUUUUUUUUUCAAUGAAUCAUUUAAUUAAACAACAAUAAUUAAAAAUAACAAAUUACAUAAAACUUGAAUGAAAUGAACAAAAACUAGGAACAAAAGAUAAAACAAAAGGCUAAGAUUUUUCCUGUGCUUGAUUAAUGAUUUUUCUCUCUCUCUUUUUUUUUUAAUUAAUAAACAGUAAAAAGAAAUAAAACAUAUUUUUUUAUGAAUAAUUUUCUCUUUUGACAAAUUUUAUGCUAAAAGUCUUAACAAUAAAAAUAAACAGCUAAAAGGGCAAAAACGAAUACAAAAUAAAAAUAAAAACUAAAAUAAAAUAAAAUAAUAGAUAAUAAUAAAAAUCUAAAAUGCUAUACAAAUGCUAAAAAAAAAAAGUCUAAAACCAAAAUCAUGAAAUUAACAGGUAAAAAUAGAUAAGAAUUAUUACUAAAAACAAAAAUAAAAAUAGAAUAAAAAUUAUUUAAAAAUUUGGUGUCUACACUGAGCACAGCCUUUUUGAUGUUCCUGUUCAUGAUAAUAUACUACCAAAAUCUGCAGCUAGCUGUUUUCGUUUCGAUUUGCUUGUGUUUUCACUUUCAGAUAGGAUGGAUGUUCCCCCAACAUCAUCUAUUUCUGACAUUGAUUCGUGUAAUAUUCUUCUUCUUAUACACUGUUACCUCUGUGUCUCUUUUGUCAUGAUCUACAGUAGACAUAAUCAUUUUGUUAAUUUUUUAUCCAUAUAAUGUGUCUACAUAGAAAUAAUGAUCUUGUCUUACAAAGUCUGUUUUGCCUGACCUCAUUAGAUGUCAAUGUACAACAAUUUCUUCUUCUUCCGUAUUCAGGUAGCAAUAAUAUUGCUCUUUAAACCAUUCAUUGUCAAUAUGAAAUCAAAGCAAACAUACUAGAUUUCUCAAUUAAUUUAGUCUCCCAUAAAAUAUUAUUUUUUGAUUUGAAACUCUAAAUUUUCAGCCUCAUCGUACACCAUAAACCAAGAAUUUGAUAGACCACCACCUUCAAAUAUGCGAGCAAGUAUCUUAUCAAAUAUUCAGCUUUCAUUCCAUAUUCUAUAUCCUAUUUAUAGUGUCAAAGAUACUUACACUUCUGAGCAUUAAAGCUGCUCUUACUUUCGACAUAACCAAACACCAGUGACACUGUCUACUUUUAGGUAAUCACUGACGUAGAACAAAUAUAUUGAUCAUAGAACAAAUACAAUUAGAGCCAAGUAUAUUGCCAUCUAUUCCAAAUUGUAUUCACUGCCAUGCUAAAUGAUUUUACAUGGAGUCACCUCGAUUCUGUUGUCCUUCUAGAGAGAUUCGAUUGGUUGAAACCAAAAUUCUUGAUAAAUUAGUGUAGCUUUAUAGAGCAAACACUCCUGAAUCAAAAGAAUUUAGACAAUGUAUUAGGAGUUAUAAUAACAUGUUUGCUUUUACAUCUUUGGGAGUCCAUUAUGAUAAAGAUCUCACCAAGAGGAAUGGUGGUAUCUAUACUUUUAGCAUCCAAGGACAGAUAUACCAUUUUAUUGACCCAUUAUUUCCUUCUGAUGAUGAAAAAGCAUCGAACUUGUGGCUGUAUUUUAUGAUACAAAACAUGAAUUAGCAAAUAGAAUGGUUAUUUCAAGCAAAUUCAGGGAGUCUAUUGUAUAGCAACUCAAGUCAAUUCUUGAUAAAAAUCUAUAUUUUGUUUUUAUUUGGAGCUUAACAGAAAUUGAGGACAAGGUAAAUACAAAAUAAUUCUAAAGUCUGAUUCGAGAUUGGACUAGUGUGUCUACAAUACACCUACAACAUCUCAAGUUGUAGGCAUUUGGCUUGAAAGUGAUCAGAACAACACUUAGACUUCAAGAAAUAUUGAAAUCUAGCUACACAAAAGUAGGCAAUAAGAAAAUGGUUAAGCAGUACUAUGGAUGCUAUGAUGCAUUGUAGUACCCCUUUAUAUAUGCUCAAGGUGAAAUAGGUUGGCAUCCGGGAAUUCUUAUAGUGGAGCAACCUGAUCAAACUUGCAGUAAAGAAAAUUUACUAGCUCUUCAUCAAUGUUUUGACAUGGAUCAGAUUCUCAAUGCAGAAGAAAAAGGUGGAACCAUAUGUGUUUGUUGAACCAUUAUACAUUUUGAACUUCUUCUUGCUAGAUCAUAGCUUUAAUGUUUAAAUCUCUAUCAUUACUAUAGUUGCCAAGAAACAAAGAAGCAAAAGCCAAUAGUUUCAUGCCAAGAAUACUAUGCAUACAAAGUUUCAGAUUAGAAUGAGGACCAAUCGAAUCUACUACAUAUUAGUCAUCUUCUAUCGCAAUACUUUGUUGACACUUAUAUAAAACUAGAGACUUUAAGGUUGGAAUUUUAUAGAAGCAGAGAAAAUAAAUUAAGGACAGAAGCAUAUCAAGGGUUGUUAGAUAUUGUUGGAAAUGGUGAAACAAAUGGUACAAAUGUUGGUAAAUGCAUCAUUUUGCCAGCAAGCUUCAUAGGUGGACUAAGAUAUAUGCGUCGCAGGUACAUGGAUCAAUGUUAUGGAAAACGCAAUAGUUUCCUCACAAUGACUUGCAAUCCAUCAUGGCUGAAAAUCAAACAGCAUUUCGAUGAAAAAGAUGAAACUUAGAAUCGACCUAACUUAAUUGGUCAUGUCUUUUGUGCAAAAUUAGAACAGUUGUAAGAAGAUCUCUUGAAAAAGCACAUUUUUUGGCCUGGUGCUAGCUUACAUAUAUGUAAUUGAAUUCCAGAAAUGAGGUCUCCCACAUUCUUACUUCCUGAUCGUUCUUAAAGACAAGUGGAAAAAUGUACUCUUUAGUAGCAUAUGAUAAAAUUGUCUCACAACCAGAUAAAAUCAAGUCACAAUACUGGUACUCUCUUGUUGUAAAGCACGUGCUUCAUGGUCCAUGCGGAUCCUUGAAUCCGAAGAGUCCUUGUAUGCUGCAAAAUCAGAAAUGCAAAAAUAACUACCCAAAGGAUUUUUGUGAGUUCACAAGGCAUGGAAAAAGCUCAUAUCUACUGUAUAAAAGGCAUAAUGAUGUAAGAAAUGUCAUCAUCAGAGAUCAUCAAUUAGAUAAUCAUUGGGUUGUCCCUUAUAAUACAUAUCUUUUAGUAAAAUAUGAUUGCCACAUCAAUGUUAAAAUUAGUUUUGCUAUCGAAGCGGUAAAAUACAUAUAUAAGUAUAUAUACAAGGGUCAUGACUGAGUUAUGUAUCAGAUUAGUGCAGAACAAUCAGACAAGAUUGUUGAUGAAAUAAAAAAUUUCCAGUCUAUUCGAUAGAUAUGUGUUGUAGAGGAUAUAUGGAGAAUCUUUGCUUUUGAUCUCAGUAUCAUUAAUCCAACUAUGGUUAUUCUCCAUCUACACUUAAAAGAUUACCAACCAAUGUCCUUCCAUGAAGAUAAGCCAUUGUAGGAUGUUAUUAUAGAUGAAAGGCUUCAGCAAAUAAUGCCUACAGAAUUCUUUGUCAUGAAUCGAACAAAUAAGCAAGUUGAAGAUCUCAAUUUAUUAUAUAAGAAAUUUCCUUAGUAUUUUUGUUUGGGAUGAAGAUGAUAGAAUCUAGUACCCUUGAGAGCGCAGACAAGUCAUUGGUCGUGUCACCACAACACAUUCGAUAGACAGUGAAAGAUACUAUCUUAGAAUGCUCUCAAUGCAUGUUCGAAAACCAACAUCCUUCACUGAUCUCAAGACAGUCAAUGGAUACAUUACUUUUUCAUUUAAGGAAGCUAUAGAAUAACUUACAUACAUCUAGGGUUGCUGCAUGCACAAGCGCCACUGAAGCUUGUGAGUCGCCGCUAGGGUUUAUGCAUCUUGCACGUACAUGGCCAUGGCUAUCCUCUGGCCUUCUGCUGGGGGGCGUCUUUCUCCUUCUCAAACGUUCCAACGGAAGUCUUUCACGGCUCUGUUCACCGCCGGAUCCUCACAGCCAGCGCUCUCUGUCAAAGCGACGUCUGUAACUCAUAAGGGGAAGCCGACUCUUCUGUUUUCUCAGGAAGCACUGGAUAGUCUGUCCAUUCCUUUCACAUAUGCUCUGGUGGGCAAAUUCUCUAGGGGCAGGCCGAAAAUGGAGGAAGUGCGUAGGUUCUUUUUCUCAUUAGAUUUAAGAGAGGUAGCAUCGGUGGGAUUACUGGACGCGAGGCAUGUGUUCAUAAAACUGUCAAACGAAGUGGAUUUCCAUAGACUUUGGUCUAGAAGCGUCUGGUAUGUCCAUGGCUUCCCAAUGAGGGUCUUCAAGUGGUCAACGACAUUCCAUGUUGAUAAGGAGCAGUCGGUAGCCCUUGUAUGGUUCCAGCUACCCAAAUUGCCGGUUCACUACUUCAACAAAGAGGUAUUGUUUUAGAUUGUGUCAUCGUUGGGUACUCCUUUGUUUGUGGAUGCGACAAUGGCAGAUGCGACAUGGCCCAGUUGUAUGUGGGUUUGUGUGGAAGUUGAUUUGCUCAAGUCUCGGCCUGCAAGAAUUUGGAUUGGCAACGGCGACCAUGAUGGGUUUUGGCACAUCUUAGUACCUAAAAAUCUCCCUCAAUAUUGCUCGCACUGUUUUCGGUAGGGGCAUGGGGUGGCGGGGUGUCGUGUCCUUCGGCCAGAACUCCGGGUAUCCAAAGCUGAGGGUGCGACGCCUGGCCCAUCGGCAAUGGGUGCGCAAACGAACUCUGGGCAAGUUACACCUGUGCCCGUGACCUCAGCCCCAGCGUUAGAGUUAGCAUCGGUUGCGAAGGUCCACCAGACGGAGCCUGGUAUACAGGGGGAGACAGAGCGAGCGUCGGCUUCACUAGUGGCUACUGCUCUUGCUCCUUGGCAGCAUGUCUCGCAGCACGCUAGGGGCUGGGAGUUGCCGCCUGGGGAAGGUGAGCUGGGGGCAGUUUGACCUGCAUGAGCGAGAAUACGAGGUUGGAGGGGGAGACACCAGUGGGUGUGAUUGAGUAGGCGUGUGUGGGUGAACCUGAUGGUGAGCUGGUAGCUGUUACGCAAGGAAGGAUUUCGGGUACGGCUACCCAGAACCUCCAACUUCUAGCGGAGGUGUUGAUGCGUAGACUACCUUCGCCUGUGGUUUCGUACCAACCAGACAGUAGCAUGCCACGCAUGGAGGUGGUCGGUGAGGUACUGACCAGUGGUUUGUUGUGCACGGGGACGGGGAUAGCGCCUAUGGAGGAUAGCAAUGCGAGUGAUGAAAGGAGAGAGGUUGAGCUGCCGCAGGUGGCUGGCAAUUUGUCACCGAGGCUGGUGGUCAGGUGAGAAUAGAAUCUGACAACUUCACUUAUGGAGUUAAACAUUGAUCCCCCUGUUGGAAAUUAAGUAAGUGCUAGAAAGGCAAAGGGGAAGGGCCUGCGUGCUCGAUUUCAAUCGGAUAGGUAUUUUCGGUCCUCAUCGUCCAUCAAUAACUCAUUCCAGGUAUUGCGUGAUGAUUAAUACACUGUUAUGGAAUAUUAGAGGGGUGUCUAUGGUGCCCAAUUUAUGUAGAUUGAAAAACAUUAUUCGCUUGCAUGGUAUCCAGUUUGUUGCAAUCUUUGAGCCAAAAUUAGAUGUAUCUCGAGUAGAGUAUAUUCACAUGCGACUAUCGUUUGACUAUGCACUUGUAAAUGUGUCGGGGGAUCUGUGGAUUUUUUAUAGUAGCCCUUUUGCUUGCUCGGUGGUGGGUACCUCCGAUAAGCAUAUUUUCCUGUCUAUUCAUCAUCCGUGGUUAUCGGGGCCCAUGAUUUUCUUAUUUGUGCAUGUUAUGUGUUCAGUGGAGGGACGUCGAGACUUAUGGGAAAAGCUCGUGUUUGAUAAGCCUCAUUCACUGCCUUGGUGUAUUAGGGGAGAUUUUAAUGUUAUUGUCAAUGCUCAUGAAAAAUGAGGGGGGAGACCAUUCUCUGUGGUAGAAGGGAUAGAGCUCCUUGCAUUUAUGGAAGAGGCCAAGGUGUUCGAUGCUGGAUUCUCGAGAUCGAGUUUUACAUGGUGCAAUAAUCGGAAGGGUAGGGCUAGAAUUUGGAAGAGAUUAGAUAGAUUACUCAUUAAUGGGGAGUGUUCUGAUUUGGCCUUCGUGAUUUCAGUCGUUAUUUAGCGAGGCACCCGUCGAAUCAUGCCCCAAUGAAAAUUUCAUUUUCUUCUAGGCUGGAUAAUGGGCCGCGUCCGUUCAGAUUCUUGAAUGUAUGGACGUCUAAACUGGAUUUACUGGAGGUCAUCAGGACUACCUGGGACACUAAAGUACAAGGAUCACUUCUUUGCAUUCUAUGCUCAAAAUUGUUAGCUACCCGGAGGGCGAUUCAGCAAUGGAAUAAGCGGCACUUUAGCGAUAUUUACGCUGCUGUUCAGGAGGCUGAGGCUGGGCUUGUAAGGGCGGAGGGUGGCUUAGCACAUGAUGAUUCCGUAGAGGAUCCCGAGGAGCUCCACAAGGCACAGGCAGAACUGAGUAGGGCUUUGGCAAUUGAAGAAUAAUUUUGGAGGCAAAAAACUCGGGUCAAAUGGCUCAGUAGUGGAGAUCGGAAUACAAGGUAUUUUCAUGUGGUGGUCAAGUAAAGGAGAAUACAAGGAGCGAUACAUAGGGUGAAAAAUUCGGAGGGGACGUGAGUGGACAAGGAUGAUGACAUAGCAAAUGAGGCAAUUAAGUAUUUCUCUAACCUGUUUUCGAGGUCUAUGGACUCUAGUCCGGGGGAGUUGGUGCACUUAAUCCAGCCAAUGGUCACGGAAGAGGAGAGUGCACUGUUGGCAGAAGUGCCUGACAUGGAGGAAGUUCGACGCCAGGUGUUCACCAUGGAUGGGGAAAGUGCUGCAGGAUCGGACGGUUUUAUAGGUAAGUUUUUUACUUUUGCAUGGGACAUCAUUGCGUAGGAUGUGCACAGAGCGGUGGUGAGUUUCUUUUGUGGCAGUGAACUGCCUAGGUUUAUUACUUCCACUUCAAUUGUGUUGCUGCCUAAAGUUUCGAAUCCCUAGGAUUUCUCAAAAUUCAGACCGAUUAGCCUUUUCAAUUUCUUCAAUAAGUGUUAGCCAGAGUUCUGGUGGGUCGUCUGGCCUCGGUGGUGCCGAGGAUUAUCUCCCCCCAGCAGACGGGGUUUGUCAAAGGCCGAACUAUAACGGAUAAUUACUUGUUGGCUCAGGAGUUGAUCGCGGGCAUAGGCAAGAAGGCAAGAGGGGGGAAUGUAGCAUUAAAACUAGAUAUGACGAAGGCAUACGAUCGGAUGUCCUGGAGGCAUAUUAUUUCCACGUUGCACGCUUUCGAUUUUGGAGAACGGUUUAUUGACCUGGUCUGGAGGCUUAUUUCUAACGUUUGGUUUUCAAUUAUCGUCAAUGGUAAAUCACACGAGUUCUUCAAGUCUAGCAAGGGCUCAAGUCAGGGGGAUCCUUUGUCCCCAGUACUUUUUAUUAUUAGGUCAGAGAUGCUUUCGCGAGGUUUAAAUGCUCUAGCAAUGCAGCAGGGUUUUGUCGGGUUUAGAGUCCUAACAGGCUGCCCGGUCGUCACGUACCUAGCUUUUACUGAUGACGUGCUCAUCUUCACUAAUGGGUCUGCUGCAGCUUUAAAAUGAAUUAUGCAGGUGCUCAACGCGUACUAGCAAUCCUCGAGACAACUGGUAAAUGCUCAAAAGAGUGGCUACUUGCUACUUCACACAUAAGGCACUAACACCAACUCAGAGAAUGGUGAUAGAGCGGAUUACACAGUUUACUAGACAGGAGUUUUCGAUUCUCUAUCUUGGCUUUACUUUGUAUACAGGUAGAAGCAAGGCAGCGUACUUUGGAGAGAUGUGCUAGGCGGUGUUGGCUCGAAUCAUGUCAUGGAAGUCCAAGUUGAUAACUUAGGAGGGGAAAAUAGUCCUAAUAAAGCAUUUGCUUUCGUCCAUUCCGGUCCAUCUACUAUCUGCUGCGGUAUGUCUGGUUUCGAUCUUCAAGAGAAUAGAGCAGGCGUGUGCGAAUUUUUUAUGGGGAUCAUCGGGGAAAAGGACAAAAUUCCAUUGGAUCAGAUGGUCUCGGUUAUGCCUUCCAGUUGAGGAGGGGGGAGUGGGUUUCAGGAGGCUCCGGGAGGUAUACUCGGCUUUCUCCUGUAAAUUGUGGUGGAAUUUUCGGACUGAAGUGUCGCUAUGGGCGGAGUUUAUGCAUGCAAAAUACUGCAGGGGUCUUUAUCCUUGCCAGGUGGAAUUGAACCGCUAUGACUCUCUGACGUGGAGAAGAAUGUUAAACAUAAGUCAACAAGUGGAAUUAGCCAUGGUAUGGUUGGUGAACGGGGGUUCCUGUGAUUUCUUAUAUGCCAACUGGUUGGGGAGUGGAGCUCUAUGUUUGAAAGCUAUGGUGUACCCGACCCUCACCUUUAAAGAUUUCAUCACAAAUAGGGAAUGGGAUGUCAAUUUGCUUGGUCAAUAUAUACCGCAGGAGCUCAUCCACCCAAUACUACGACACCCGGUCCCGACGGGAGGCAGCCGCGACGAGAUGAUAUGGAGCCUGAUGGCUUCGGGGAAAUUCACGUUGGCAUCGGCCUUUCAUGAAGUUCGUCAGGCUCGAAAUUCCUCUGUGAUCCACUCUCAGGUAUGCCAUGCUCGGAUUCCAUUGAAAAUUUCUUUCUUCAUGAUGUGUUUGCUAUUGGAAAAAUUGCCCUUAACUGAUGGCUUGUGAAGGGUGGGCGUUAGAUUAGCCUCCAAGUGUUUGUGUUGCCAAGAGGGAGCGAAUGAGAUGUUGGAGCAUGUUUUCUCGAAGGGCCAAGUUACGAUGGGAGUCUGGCUUUAUUUUGGUUCGAUGUGUGGGGUUGCAUACCAAGGCCCAUCAUUACAGGCAUGGCUAACGGCUUGGUGGAUGUCGUCACCUAGGUCUGAGAAAAGACGGGUCCUUUUCUCAGUCCUUCCCAGUUUUAUUCGCUGGCACAUGUGGAAGGCUCGAAAUAAAUCAUUUUAUGAAGGGUUUCAAAUGCGAGUGGCGAGGGUCUAUUGUUAUUCUUGGUUUUGAUGAUCACAAAGUAUUUUGAAAUGUAUCUAACCUUCUUCGAUUAUAAGUGUCUUUACAUAUCAAAGAAUCAGGUAUGAAUAGGUCAUGAAAUGCAUUUCAACCAAAAGAAGAAGCAAAAACAGGAUACUCACGUCGGACGGCCGAAAGGAAUCUGUCGGACGUCCGAAGGAUAAAGAGCAUCAAGAAGGAAGCUCUGUCGGACGCUCGUGAGGAAGCAUCGGACGUCCGGAAGGAUCGGACGCUUGCCAUCGGACGCUCAUCAACCGCAUCGGACGUCCGAAAAAUUCCAAGCUAACUUGCCAACUCUCUGCCUACGAUCGGACGCUGCGGUGUCAGACGAUCAAGACGCAUCGGACGUCCGAACGUCAACUUGGAUGCCAUCGGACGAUUGGUUCGGACGAUGAUUUGAUCGUCGGACGUCCGACAGCCCCAACGGCUAGUUGACUCUUCAGCUGCCUUCUAUCCGUUGGAAGCAUUGAUGAAGCCCAUUUCUGGUUCCCUUUAAAAUCAAACUGGUCUGAACGAAGUAGAGACUUUUGCACACUUUGUUUACAAGAUCUAGUGAGAUAUUUUAGCUAGAAAAUAGUCUCCAAAGCAGAUUUGUUUUAAAGUGGUGUGAAUUUCUGUUGAGCUUUUCUUUUGUGAGUGAAAAAAUCUUUAGUGUAGCUCUGUUGAGGGUUUUCUGAGUGAUUGUAAAACUUCUUGGCUUGAGUAAGUGAGGCUUAGGGCAAGGAGGAAGUGCUCCCUCCAUUGUACAUCUAGUUGAUCGACUUUCAUCAAAGAGAAGUUGCUCUUCCUUGUGUUUGGUCUUCAAGUUUGGGUAAAGCUUGGUAGACACUUGGUUUGUUUCUCCAUUUUACAUUUCUGAUUAAUAAAAUCUUCAUUGCUUAUCUAUACUUGCUUCUCCGAUCAAUAUUGCUAUUGUCUUCUAAUCUACUUGGUUGAUCAUUACUAAAAAGGAAGGUAAAUUUUCAUUAACGAAAAAGUGCAUAAACUUGGUUAAGAUUUUAAUCAAACCAAUUCACCCCCCCCUCUUGAUUGUCUGUGGGACUAACAAUUGGUAUCAGAGCUUGGUCUCCUUGAGAUUAAGCUCUAACGGCUUGGAGUAAAGAUGACAACCAGUCAUGCUAUGUUUGUUGAGGGGCAAUCUGUUACUAGGCCUCCCAUGUUCAGUGGCUCUAACUAUGUUAGCUGGAAAGAACGAAUGAUUAUCUUUUUGCAAUCUAUUGAUAUUGAACUGUGGUUUAUUGUGAGUGAAGGACCGCAUGAAGCUAACUUUCUUGAUGCAGAUACAGGGCUGCUUCGGCCAAAAAUGAGAGCUGAAAUGAAUGCUCAAGACAGGACUAACCUCACAUUGAAUGCCAAGGCCAUGAAUGUUCUCUAUAGUGCCUUAGAUUCAAAUGAAUCAAUUAGAGUGAAAGGCUGUAAAUCAGCCAAAGAAAUGUGGGAUAAGUUAAGAGAAAUCCAUGAGGGUGGUGACAAUGUGAGAGAACAGAGAAAGGCCAUCUUGGUCACAAAGUAUGAAUCUUUUAAGAUUGAACCUUUUGAGGAUAUUGACAAAAUGUUUUGCAGGUUCACUGACUUGAUCAAAGAUCUCGAGGUGUUGGGCAAAGAGUACACCUUGGGAGAGAAGAACAGAAAAAUUCUCAAUGCAUUGGGCAAAGAAUGGGAAAAUAAAGUGACUGCAAUAGAAGAGGCUAAGGAUUUAAGUUCUGUGCCUAUUGAAUCUAUCAUUAACUCACUAACCUCUUAUGAGUUGAAACUGAAAUCUAAAGUGCAGGAGGAAGAGGAUGCUAGAGCAAAGAGAAACAUUGCUCUAAAGAUUACUCAAAGUGAAGAUGAUCCAGCUCACUUGGAUGAUGAAGAUUCGGAUGGUGAUGAUAAUGAUCUUGCUCUUAUCACCAGAGGCUUCAAAAGAAUUUUGAAUAAAAGAAAGUUUAGAAGGGGAGGUCCUAGCAAUCAAUUCCAGAAUCAACCAUCUAUCGCAAAGUACAAAGGAAAACAAGAUUUCAACAAGAAACAGUUGGACAAAUGCUUCGAAUGUGGACAGAUUGGACACUAUGCAAAUGAAUGCCCCAUGAAGAAGAUGAAAGAUGGAAAAGCUGAUCGAAAGCCAAGAUUCAACAACUUUCAGAUUACUUGGAAUGAAUGCAACUCCGAAGGGGAAGUUGAAGAAGAAGAGGAAUCAGCUCAAAUGGCCUUCAUGGCUAUUGGAAAUAAUGAGGUAACUUCCACUCACUCGCAAUCUGAAAGUGAUGAUGAUGAAGAUGAUGAUCUUGAAUCUUUUGUUGAAAAGCUACAUAAUGCCUUGAAGGAAUCUUAUGAUAAGAACAAGCUGUUAAAACAGAAAAUUGCUUUUCUCAUUCAAGAAAAUACAAGUCUGGUUCAACAAAAUAAACAUCUAAAGACUGACAAUGAAUGCCUUGUAAGAGCCGGAUGUGAUGUUCAAAACGAGCUUGACAGAAAGACUAAUAUUUGUGAAAUGCUGAAGGAAAGGCAUGGUGAUUUGAAGAAAAGAAUGGACAUCUUGGAUGAAACUUUGAAAUCAAGAAAACAGGAUUUUCUCAAAAGAAACAUGUCAUCUACUCAUCCUUCUGCUUGUCAAAGAACAUUUGCUCACAACAAAAUUGCACAUGGCUUCACAACAUAUAGAAGAGGUGGAUUGAGAUAUAUCAAACCAGUACAUGUUAAGAACUCUUUCAUUAUGUGUGAUUUCUGUUGUCAAAGAGGGCAUUUGAAAGGAGAUUGCUAUGUGAAAAGAAAUCAGAACAAAGGGAUGAAAUGCAUGUGGUUAGUUAGAUACAAUGCUAACUAUUAUGGACCCAAAAAUUAAAAUGGGUACCAAACACCUUAUUUUUUCAGGAAAAAGGAUCAAACAAGUCCAAAUGGUUUAUUGAUAGCGGCUGCUCAAGGCACAUGACCGGUGAUCCCUCUCUAUUCAUAAAGCUGAAAUCAAGAUCAAGUGGAAAAGUGACAUUUGGUGAUGAUGUGAAAGCUAAAACAAUUGGAAUAGGUGAUGUUGGUAAGGAUGGUGAAACUUUUGUUCAUAAUGUGCUCUUAGUUGAUAACUUGGGUUAUAAUUUGCUUAGUGUUAGUCAAUUGUGUGAUAAAGACUUGAAUGUGUUGUUUAGAAAGCAUGAAUGCAUUGUACUUGAUUCCAAAUACAAUGUUGUGUUCAAAUGUAAGAGGUUCAACGACAUUUAUAUUGUGGUUCUUGAUAAAAUUGAUUCUUCUAGCUUAACAUGUCUUAAAGCUUCAAAUGAAGAUCCUUGGUUGUGGCAUAGAAGACUUUGUCAUUUUAACAUGGAGUUACUAAAGGAAAUUUCGAAAAAGGAGCUAGUUAGAGGCUUGCCAAAAAUCAGUUUUGAAAAGGAUAAAAUAUGUGAUGCAUGUCAAUUUGGAAAAGAAACAAAAGUUUCUUUUAAACCAAAGAAGUGUGUAUCUACUUCCAAACCUUUAGAACUCUUGCAUCUUGACUUAUUUGGCCCUACUCAAAUCUCUAGCUUGGGUGGUAAGAAAUACUGUUUUGUGAUUGUAGAUGAUUAUUCUAGAUACACUUGGGUAAUAUUUCUUGCUCAUAAGGAUGAUGCAUUCAAGAAUUUCACUUCAUUGUUUGCUAAAGUGCAAAAUCUGAUUGGAUUAAAAAUUGUUAGAAUUAGAAGUGAUAAUGGAACAGAAUUCAAGUAUUGUGGUUUUCCAGAAUUUUAUGAUCAUAAUGGCAUAACUCAUGAGUUUUCUAUUGCAAGAACUCCACAGCAAAAUGGUGUUGUAGAAAGGAAAAACAGGACUCUCCAAGAGGCUGCUAGAACUAUGUUAAAUGAAUGUAGGUUGCCUAAAUAUCUUUGGGCUGAAGCGGUAAACACUGCAUGUUAUGUGAUGAAUAGAAUUCUCUUGAGACCUAUUUUAAAGAAAACUCCUUAUGAGCUGAUUUUUGAUAAGAAACCUACAGUUGGUUAUUUCAAAGUAUUUGGUUGUAAAUGUUUUAUUUUGAAUCUAAAGGAACAUCUUGGUAAGUUUGAUAAAAAAUCUGAUGAAGGAAUAUUUUUGGGGUAUUGUGAAAAUAAAAGAGGAUACAGAGUUUUUAAUAGAAGGACUCUUGUGAUUGAAGAAGCUAUACAUAUAACAUUUGAUGAAACCAAUGAUGAUAAUUCCAAAAGUCCGUGUGAGGAUGAUGAUGUAGGUGUUCGAGCAGGAAUGGAAAAGCUGUCAAUUGGAAAUGAAGGAAGUUCUAAACCAGCAGCAACUGAAAUGGAAAAUGAAGUUCAUAAUGAUCAAGAAGAGGAAGAUGAAGACAAAAAUGAUGAUUCACUCAAAGAUCUUCCCAAGGCUUGGAAAUUCAGCCAAAAUCAUCCAAAAGAGCUUAUAAUUGGUGAUCCAUCCGAGAAGGUAAACACUCGUUCCUCAUCUAGAAAAUUGAUUGACAAUUUUGCUUUAGUGUCUCUCUUUGAACCCAAAAAUGUCAAUGAUGCUUUAAAGGAUGAAAACUGGAUUUUGGCAAUGCAAGAGGAACUUAAUCAAUUUGAAAGAAAUGAAGUUUGGACACUUGUUGAUAGACCUCAAAAUCAGCCUAUCAUUGGCACAAAGUGGAUUUUUAGAAAUAAGUUGGAUGAUAAAGGUGUUGUUGUAAGAAAUAAAGCCAGAUUAGUUGCUAAAGGAUAUGCACAAGAAGAAGGAAUUGAUUUUGAUGAAACAUUUGCUCCCGUAGCAAGAUUAGAAUCUAUUAGAAUGCUUCUUGCUUUUGCUUGCUUCAAAAGUUUCAAAUUGUUUCAAAUGGAUGUUAAAAGUGCCUUUUUAAAUGGUUUUAUUGAUCAAGAAGUGUAUGUGGAUCAACCCCCCGGUUUUGAAAAUACAAAAUUUCCAAGUCAUGUGUUUAAACUUUCUAAAGCUUUAUAUGGUUUAAAACAGGCUCCAAGAGCUUGGUAUGAAAGAUUAAGUGGUUUCUUGAUUGAAAAAGGUUUCAAAAGGGAUGUUGUGGACACCACACUUUUUACUAAGCACGUGUUGAAAGACCUUCUUAUUGUGCAAAUAUAUGUUGAUGAUAUUAUUUUCGGUGCUACUAAUGAGUAUCUAUGUAAGGAGUUUUCCACCACUAUGCAAAAUGAAUUUGAAAUGAGUAUGAUGGGAGAAUUAAAUUUCUUCCUUGGACUUCAAAUACAUCAAGCUCUUGAGGGAAUUUUUAUAAAUCAAGCAAAAUAUACCAAGGAAUUGCUGAAAAGGUUUGGCAUGGAGGACUCAAAACAAGUUGGAACUCCAAUGUGCACUUCUACAAAGCUUGACAAAGAUGAAGAAGGUAAUCAUGUGGAUGAAAAGCAUUAUAGAGGUAUGAUCGGAAGCCUACUUUAUUUAACCGCAAGUAGACCUGAUAUUAUGUUUGCUGUUUGCUUGUGUGCUAGAUUUCAAUCUUGUUCAAAAGAAUCACAUUUGAAUGCUGUAAAAAGAAUUUUUAGGUAUUUGAAAGGUACAUUAGACUAUGGUCUUUGGUAUGCUAGAUCUAAUGAGUUUGCUCUAUAUGGUUAUUCGGAUGCUGAUUUUGGAGGUUGUCAUGUGGAUAGAAAGAGUACGAGUGGAACUUGUCAUUUUCUUGGAAAUUGUUUAGUCUCUUGGUUUAGCAAAAAGCAAAAUGCAAUAUCUUUGUCUACAACCGAAGCGGAAUAUUUUGCCGCUAGUGCAUGUUGUGCUCAACUUUUGUGGAUGAAGCACACUUUGAAUGAUUUUGGAUUGUUGUAUGACUGCAUGCCUGUAUUCUGUGAUAAUACUAGUGCUAUAAAUUUGACCAAAAAUCCUAUUCAUCAUUCUAGGACAAAGCACAUAGAUAUAAAGCAUCACUUUAUUCGUGAUCUUGUUCAAAAAGGUGAAAUAUGUGUAAAUUAUGUUUGUUCUAAAGAUCAAUUUGCUGAUAUAUUUACCAAAGCUCUGCCAUUAGAUCAGUUCAUUCAUCUAAGAUCAAAAUUAGGAAUAAUCGAAAAAUCAUCCUAAUAUUUCUCAAAGUCUUCGGACGUCCGAAAGAAGAUGAACGGACGUCCGAUGAUGUUCUUCAGCCAUUUUCCAGAAUUGCGCCUGUUCGGACGCAACUGUCGGACGUACAACUUCGUUCGGCCGUCCGACAGUGCAACGGCUCAUUUGUUUUAAAUCAACUUUCUUCCUCAUUUGCUUCAAUCUUUUUUUAUUUCCUCUCGGACGAAAACCCUCUCAUUUCUCACUCUCAAAUUCAUACCAUUCUGAAGCUCUCAUUCCCAAAUUGAUUCAAACAAAACUUUUCCUGAUUGAUUGCGAUUCAUUUCUCCUAAUUAUUUCAUCGAAUCGCAAAACAUUUCGAAAAUUCCCAAAUUUCCCUCAAAACCCUACUUUCUCAUAACUGCUCUGUCAAAUCUUGUUCAAGGACUUUGUGUCCCAAAAUUUCUGUACGAUUCACUUCCCUACUGCUGUGUGCAUCAUUUGCAUUCCUCAUUCCACACAUCCUUUAAGAUUAUUAUACUUAUUUCUUCUUUUGGUGUAGAAUGGACGGUCAUGGUGAGGCUAGUAGUCCCCUACUGGAGAGCUACCCCGUGGGGUGCUUCCGGUGAUUCCGUACCAGAUCCGACCCAGAGGGCCGUUGUGCGUUGGAGCCCGGCUAACCGCCUCCGACGUUGCGAGUGUCGACACAAGUACGCUUACCCUAAUUUCUGGUGUUGGCAGUGGCCGAGGAGCGUAAGGAGUUGGCCGAAGAUAAGGCUAGGGUUGAGGCGAGUUGAACCAGCUUAGGGCGGCCAAUGAGAAACAGGCUGAGCGCAUUAAGGGGUUGGAGUAUGACGUGCUUGAGGUAGAGGAUAGGGUUGAUGGCCUCUGCACUCAACUUAGGGAAGUUCGUGAGCGUGAGACUAAGCGAGCUCGAAAUGUUAAGGUUCGAGCCGCAUCGAUCCUGACCUCUGCGUGGACAUGGUCGAGGGCGUGAGUGACGAGGACUCGUGUGCGGGACCCGAGGCUGGGGUUGGAUCCACCUCGUCGGGUGGGUCUACUAGCCCAUCGACGGACUAGGUCUCGACUCCUAGGUUUUUGGGAUAGUUUUGUUUCUUGUAUAUAGGGAUAGGGAAAGAACCUAAGCUAGCCGUUUGGUAUGUUUGGCUUAGCUACAUGUAUAAUCUUUUGAUAAGGCCAUUCCCUGGUGGUUUUUCUAUGUUUCGACUUGACUUGACUGUACUUGAUUUGACUGUACUUGGCUUGACUGGUUGUGAUAUGUGUGUUGUUUGACUUUGUUUGGAAUGUAUAUAUAUGUUAUUGUAAAAGCUUUUGGGAUUUUAUUUACAUGCAUUGUUAUUCUAUUGUUCUAGUACGUUUGCCUAGACCAAGUAGAGUUCAUGAAGGUACACGUGUGGACGGGACGUGGGGGAAAUAGACAACCCACAGGACAGGGGUACUGGGGAACCCUCAUCUGGACCUAAUCCUGACCCCAACGUGCAAAUCGCCGCGCUAUGCAGCAAAUGACCAAUUUGCUGGCACAAGUGGUGCAGCAACAGGGCCAAAACCCAAACCCUAAUCCUGGAAACCCUGGCAACCACGUCGAGAGCGAAGACAGAGCUCUCGAACGAUUUCAAAAGUUUGCUCCACCCAAGUUCAUUGGGGGGCCCGAUCCGGAUGUCGCCGAAAGGUGGCUCGAGAAGAUGGUCGAUAUUUUUGCGGCCUUGCACUACACCGAAGAACGGCAGGUGACUUUUGCCGUUUUCCAGUUGGAAGGGGGGCCCGUUCCUGGUGGAACGUAAUACGGCAAAAAUGGGAACGGGAACAAACGCCCAGGACUUGGGUGAAUUUCAUAAGGGAAUUCAACGCGAAAUUUUUCCCUCCUCUAGUUCAGGAGAGGAAGGAAGAUGAGUUCAUCCGACUCCGCCAAGGGACUCAAUCUGUGGCGGAAUACGAGAGUCAAUUUACCCGCCUGUCCAAAUUUGCGCCUGAGCUGAUCAUGACCGAGCAACGGCGGAUCAGGCGCUUUAUCCAGGGCUUGAAUGUCGAAAUCCAGAAGGACCUCGCAGUGGCUCAAAUCAAUGCUUUUAGCGAGGUCGUGGAAAAGGCCCAACGAGUAGAGAGUGCUAGAUUGCAAGUCCGGAACUUCCAGGCAAAGAAGCGGGGUUUUCCUGGGAGUAGUUCAGGACAGGGUGAGAAGAGUACCCCCUCCAAGUUUGGACGAGGAAUGGGAGGUGGACGACAGUCGGGUACAGGCAGAGUCGUCUAGGGGUGGCCAAGCUGGGCGAGGCCAAAAGGAAAUUUUCAGGGAGGCUCAGCUUCAGCACCUCGCGGUCCCUGUGGGCAUUGUGGGAAGCCAAACCACACGGAAGAUAACUGCUGGAGGAAGGAGGGCAAAUGUCUGCGAUGUGGAAGCGCAACCACCAGUUGGCUACUUGCCCAGUCCUAAAAAAAGACGGAAAGGGAGUCAACCACCGUCGAGGACCAAUGCUGGACCAGCUAAGGGAGAUGGGUCCAAACCUAAGGUGCCAGCUAGAGUGUAUUCGUUAGACCCCAACAGGUCCCAGAUUCCUCAGAGGUCGUAGAAGGUACGAUCCUAUUUUCCACCGUUUUGCCAAAGUUUUAAUUGAUCCUGGUGCCACUCAUUCCUUUGUUAACCCUGAUUUCAUGUGUGGCAUCAUAUAAAACCUGCUAGUUUACCAUACGACCUAGAAGUUAGUACACCUACGGGGAAUCAACGUUUGGUUACUAGUAUGGUUUAUAGGGAUUGUGAAGUGUGGGUAGGAGAGAAGAGAUUGUUAGGGAUUUAAUUAGUCUGGCCAUCAAAGGGUAUGAUGUAAUUUUGGGUAUGGACUGGCUAGCCAAGUAUAAUGCCCAACUGGAUUGUAAAACGAAAGUGGUAGCAUUCCGUAUUCCGGUGAGGCAACCUUAAGGUUGGAUAUAAGGGGUAGGUUAGCCUCAUCUGCUUUGAUUUCGGGCAUUCGGGCUAGGAAACUGCUAAGUAGAGGGGCGCAAGGAUUUUUAGCCUUUCUGAUUAACACCCCUCGGAUAAGUUAAAAGUGGAGGACGUGGCCAUAGUAAAGGAAUUUCCGAUGUAUUUCCUGAUGAGUUAGUAGCCCUACCUCCGGAAAGAGAGAUAGAAUUCAAGAUAGACCUGCUACCUGGAAUUCACCCAUUCAAAAACACCAUACCGAAUGGCCCCUGCAGAGCUCAAGGAGCUAAAGUUGCAAUUACAGGACCUUCUGGAGCGGGGAUUCAUUCAAGAGAGUGGGUCUCCUUGGGGAGCUCCUGUCCUGUUUGUCAAGAAAAAGACGGAGGUUUGAGGAUGUGUAUCGAUUAUCGGGGCCUGAAUAAUAUUACGGUUAAGAAUAAGUAUCCACUGCCCCACAUAGAUGAGUUGUUUGACCAGUUGCAGGGAGCGGUGGUCUUCUCGAAACUGGAUCUCCGCCAAGGGUAUUACCAGUUAUUAAUCAGGAAGGAAGAUAUUCCGAAAACCGCCUUCAACUCGAGAUAUGGGCAUUACGAGUUCGCAGUUAUGCCCUUUGGAUUAACCAAUGCUCCUGCCGCCUUCAUGGACCUAAUGCAUAGGGUUUUUAAGCCCUACCUGGAUCGAUUUGUCGUAGUCUUCAUCGACGACAUUCUGGUCUAUUCCAAGACACGUGAAGAGCAUGAGCAGCACUUGAGGAUUGUCUUACAAACCCUAAGAGACCAUCAACUGUACGCCAAGUUCAGCAAGUGCGAAUUUUGGCUGGAGAAAAUUUCUUUUCUGGGACACGUAAUUUCUCAAGAGGGUACUUCAGUUGACCCGGCGAAAGUAGAGGCUGUGACUAAUUGGAAGAGGCCAGAAAACCCCACAGAGAUCCGCAGUUUUCUAAGGCUAGUUGGGUAUUACCGACGUUUCAUUAAAGACUUCUCUAAAUUAGCAGGUCCUUUAACUGACCUGACAAAGGUCCUUAUGGAAUGCCCGAUGUGAGACGAGUUUUCAAGAAUUAAAGAAAAGAUUGACCAUGGCUCCAGUGCUAGUCUUACCAAACGGAGUGGACAGAUUUGCUGUGUAUACUGACGCGUCACGAGAAGGCCUGGGUUGUGUAUUAAUGUAGAACCGUAAUGUGAUCUCUUUUGCCUCUAGAAAGUUGAAACUUCAUGAGCAAAAUUACCUGACCCACGAUCUGGAGCUAGCCGCCGUUGUUUUCGCACUGAAAAAGUGGAGACACUACCUAUAUGGGGUGACCUUUGAAGUGUACUCGGACCAUAAGAGUCUUAGGUACCUCUUUUCACAUGAGGCAGCGACGAUGGAAUUUUUGGAGGAUUACGACUGUACCAUCAACUACCAUCCAGGAAAGGCGCAAGUAGCAGGGUUAAUGAUUAAAGAGUGGAAUUUGCUCGAGUCAGUUUGCGAGUGGAAACCCUACCUUGGGAGUCAUAAAGUGAUUUUUGGUAACAUUAAGGUAACCUCCACCCUUUUGGAGCGGAUAAAAGAAGCGCAAAAAGAGGAUGCUAUGGUACGGAAGUGGGAGAGAAAGUGAAAAAAGGAGAAACGACUGAUUUCAAUUUCAGUCCUGAGGGUAUUUUAAAAUACCGGAACCGAAUAGUGGUGCCGAAAGAUGAGUCGUUGAAAACGGAAAUUUUAGCGGAAGCUCAUCGGUCCAAGUAUACAAUCCAUCAGGGUAGUAGUAAGAUGUAUCAGGGCCUGAAAUGAACCUAUUGGUGGGAUAAUAUGAAGAAGGAAAUCGCUCUGUACGUGCAAAAAUGUCUCGUUUGCCAACAGGUUAAGGCGGAACAUCAAAAACCAUCGGGCUUGUUACAACCCCUUGAGAUACCCGAAUGGAAGUGGGAGAACAUCACAAUGGACUUUGUUUCAGGUUUACCACGAACGCAACGAGGACACGAUGCCGUUUGGGUAAUCGUCGACCGGUUAACCAAAUCGGCUCACUUCCUGCCGGUAAACAUGAAGUAUUCCAUGGAUAAGUUGGCCCAGCUGUACAUGGCCGAGAUCGUAAGGCUACACGGUGUUCCAGUCAGUAUCGUCUCCGAUCGAGAUCCACGUUUCGUAUCUAGAUUUUGGCAGAAAUUUCAUGAAACGCUAGGGACGAAACUCAACUUGAGCACGACCUAUCACCCUCAGACGGAUGGACAAUCGGAGCGAACCAUCCAAACUCUUGAGGAUAUGCUACGGACUUGCAUUCUGGAUUUUGGAGGCAACUGGGGUCAACACAUGACCUUAGUAGAGUUUGCGUACAACAACAACUACCAUUCGUCGAUUCAAAUGGCUCCAUACGAGGCACUAUAUGGACGAAAAUGCCGAUCACCGAUCUACUGGGAUGAAAUUGGUGAGAGAAAGGCCUUAGAUCCAACCACUAUUCCAUGGAUGGAGGAGGCGCGAGAAAAGGUGAAGCUAAUACGGCAACGACUCCAAACAGCUCAAAUUCGACAAAAGAGCUACGCAGAUAAUUGAAGAAAAGACUUGGAGUUCGAAGUUGGAGACCGUGUUUUCCUCAAGGUUACACCGUUAUGGAGUGUCACGACGGGUAGAGGAAAGAAAUUACAACCGAGGUUCGUCGGACCUUACAAGAUCCUGCAGAGAAUAGGUGCGGUAGCAUAUAGGCUAGAGUUGCCGUCAAGUCUCUCGAGAAUUCACGACGUUUUCCACGUUUCGAUGCUCAAGAAGUACUAUCCCGACUCAUCCCAUAUCUUACAACCAGAAGAGAUCGACGUAGACGAAUCGCUUGCUUACGAAGAGAAACCUGUCCAAGUGCUUGACCGAAAAGUCAAAGAGCUAAGAAACAAGCAGAUUCCGUUGGUUAAAAUACUGUGGAGAAACCAUGGGGUAGAGGAAGCUACCUGGGAAGUGGAAGAAGAAAUGCGAAAGAAAUACCCUGAACUUUUCGUGAGUUAAGGUGAGAAAUUUCGCGGGCGAAAUUCUUUUAAGGGGGAGAGAGUGUGAGAACCCGUAAUUUUUCCCUUUUCUAGGUUUUAUUAUAUUUAAUGGCAUGUUUUCUGCAUUUUCUUUAUUCAAAAAGUUUCCAGAUAAUUUUUAUGAGUAAAUAUAGUUUUAGGUGAGUUUUCUAGUAUUGGUUAGUUUUUAAGAAAUUAAGAGCGUAUACCGGACGUGGGACCCACUAAGGCGAAAAGUUCGGAAAAAAUCGGCCAACUAGGUUAAGUUUGGAACACUGGGUUUAAAUUAUUGGGUGCUAAGAGAUAAUUAGAGGUUGCUAUUUGGAUUGGUGUGAGAGGAAACAAAGUGAUAGCUAUGCAUUUAAUAAAGUGACAAGUGUCACAUAGAGAUUGGUUGUACUUGAUGACCACUAUUCACCUUUUACCAUUUGACCAAAUAAAUCAAAAAAUUACCAAAAAUUCACCAUUUUUCUUCCUCUUCUUGGCCGGCCACCUCAAGCAAAAAGAAAGGGAAAAACUCUUCAAAUAUUUGCUUCUAUCUUGCUCAAAUUCAACAAAACAACCAUUUGAUCUUGCAUUUGUUCCAUAAAACCCCUUCAUUUAGUGAUUGUGAGGUGUUUAGUGGAGUUGUUUGGAAGGAUAAGGUGAUUAGUUUCUCUCUCUCUUGUAUUACUAAGGUGAGUAGUGAAGGACCCCUCUCCUCCAUCUAAUGAUGUUUCAUUCAUGAUUUGUGGUAGUUUAAGAUGUAAUUUUAUGGAUUAUAUCUUGAUUUUGGUUGAAUUGGUGAAGUUUUAUAAUUAUUGGUGAUUUUUCUGUUUUCAUAUGAUUAUUAUUAUGGGGUCAUGUAUGAUGAUUGGAAAUGAUAUUUAAGGCAGCUAGAAGGUGAAAAAAGUGGUUAAUUGCAGGAAAUUUCUGUUUUGGAAGAAAUUUGGAAAGUUAGGGUUUCAAGUUCUUACAUUCUGCCCGGCACUGUAGGUUAUAGUUAGAGGCCGAAUUGGCCUUGGGUUAAAACAUGAAAGUUGUAGGGAAUGAUAUUAUAGGGAUGGCUACAAAAUUGCAGGUCAAUCGGAGCAACGUAGCUUGAGAAAAGACUGAAAUACCCCUACUACCCUGGUUCUACCCGAAUUUGAUAAUUGCGUCUGUAAUUGGGUAAUUUGGUUGGGAAUGCUUCUGAUUUGGUUGUUGGUGCCUUCUGAUUAAUUGUAUCCUUGUAUCUUAUCUUUAGGAUGGCUUUGGAAUCACUUGAUUUGGACUUAGGUAGCCUGACUUAUGAUAUUUGAACCAGAAUGUGGUUUGUGAACCUAUUUUUGCGGUCCUGGUUUAGUAUCUUGCAUUUUGACCCAGUUACACUCGAAACUGGUAGAGUAGCCUUUUUCAACAUUGUAUCCCUAUCUCUUAGCUUCGAAACGGUGUAUCUUUCACCUCCAUCCGAUAAUCGUAGUGCCAAUGGUGCCAAAACCGUAAACGGAUGUCAAAAACUAUUUUUUUUGGGUUAGAACUUAAUGCCAUUUCUGGAUUUUCCUGGUUUACUCUAGUGCUUAUACAUUCUAGUGGAACCUUAUUUUGGUGGUAUUUGGCAUUGGUUAUGACUUGUAAUUGAGCCUUAUUAUGCUUAUUUGAAUGUUCUAGGCCGUGACGGUGGUGCAAGACGCUCUUAGGCGGAAGUGCAUGAAAUACCAUUUGCUUGAUUGGUGAGUGUACCACUCACUUGUUGUUUACAAUGUGGCUUUGUAUAUGUGAACUUGAUGCCUUGAAGGCUUAUUUGCUUCAUUGAACUUAAUUAAGUGAGGGUGUACUUGAUCGCCCUCACCCAUUUGGUAUAUCAUAUGACUGUCUACUGUUUUACUGCAAUGAUUGAAUGAUACAUGAAAUACUGAAUUGGUUCAUGAAUUUGGUGUCGCUUGGACGAGUAUACAACGACCAUUACUGAUAACGACUGAGCUCAACCCCAUUGGUAGUCGAUUGGAUCGAGCCGGCGAGGGCUUGGUCGUGAAAAUUGAUGAGCCAUGGGGACUGUUAUAUGAAAUCUUGUAGUAGUGAGACUCUUGAUUCCGGUAUACUCGAGUAUUACCAAUUUCUAUUGUUUGGAGUUCGGGCACGGUAGGGGUUGUUGGGUGGAAGGAAUGGAAGUAAAGUGGAGCCUACGGUUGGUUACUCUUAAACAUUGACGGAGGGUCAAUGAGAUCCGAUCAAGAAUGCAAACGAGGAAAAGGGCUCUUGAGAGCCGCCCGUAUCCUUUUAUCACCACUAUUGAUGUGUGCCUUUGCUUACUUUUGAUGUAUUGGAAUGAAAAACUUGAUGCUUAUAUGAACUUGGUUGCUUGAGUGGUAUUAUCUCACUGGGCGUAAGCUCACUCUAUUCCCUUUUGUUUUCCUUACAGGAAAAUAAAUACUUCUGGACUGGAUUUGAUAGUUGGUUGCCGAAUUGAGCUAGAUGGACAUAUCUUUUGUAUAACUCCUUGAUUGAAACCCUAAAUGUACUUUUGGGUCCGUUUCUCUUUUGAUUUGGCAAACCGUACAUGUAUCCACUUUUGAAUAACUUUUGUAUGCCACUUGGGAUUGUAUAUGCUUAAUUUCAACAUGUAAAUUUUUGCUUGAUGUUUGGUUGGGUUUUGACGUGUCGGUUACUAUUCAUGGCCGACUCCGGUUUCAUUUUUUUUAUCUUGACAUUUUGACUUGUUUACGCGCGUGUUGUAUGUUCCGGAACGUAUUAGAUCGCUCUAAACUGAGCCAUUAGUCCUAGCGAGAGUUGGGUAGGCAGUCCGCUAACCCCUUUGGUUCGCCUUAGGAGAAGGUGGGGCUGUCACAUUUCUAGCUUAUAACCGAUUGGAAGAAAGACAUGAAUAUUCUAUUUUUAACUUGAAUUUUGAAUGGAUUUUUGCUAAGGUUUAAUGCUUUAUACUUUGACAAUGUUCAUAUGGAGUUUUAGGGUGUUUAAUGUUGAAAUGAUGUGGGAAAGUUUGGAAAGUCAGAAUGAAUUUUGAAACUAAAAAAUGUUGCUGGAAAGCUGUUAAGUAGCCGAGGAGAGAGAGAGAGCUGGAAUUCUCCACCUUUAUCUUCAAACGUUUGGUUUAAUUUUGAUAUGUUCUGCUUAAGACAUCUUAUGGUCUUUAAUCACAAUUUGCAUGCAGAAUCCCAUUAAUUUAAAACAAGAAAAUUGUGUUGUGUUUGGAAGAAAAAGAAGUGUUUCAUUUUCUGGAAACUUUGGCAACCUUAGUCUUGGCUUUCAGUUGGAAUUUCGGAUGGACUCUUGCUAUGAACUGUGUUAUAUGUACCUUGAUUUAUGUUGUAUAUGAUGAAUUGUGAGUUGUGUGCAGGAAUUACAUUAGAGGUUUGGAGAGAAUUAGGGUCAGUGUGCUGAAUUUUUGUAAACUUGACACCAAAACUUGAUUUUUAGCAUAACUUUUCUUCAUUGCAAUUUCGUGACUAGUAAAUUGGCACAAAUGUAGUAAAUUUUCUUGGUUGAGGACUGUUUUCAUAUGAAACUAGUUAAUUAAACAUCAAAAUGCUAUAUUAUGGCCUAGGUUUUAUAAUUUUAGGAGUUCAGAUCCUUGAACUAGUUCUUAAAAGUUAAUAAUUGACUAAACCCUAAUUUUUGACAUAGGCGUCUACUUUUGUGAAAUUAGAUAUGAGAAGGGGAAAACUUAGUUCUUAAACCUUAUACUAAGGAAAUAAACAAACAACUAUAAGCGUUCAUAUCGAUUCCAAAAGCCAAGUUUGAGCUAGAAACACAACCCUACACCGAGGUGUGAACUUCAAUUACUUAAAGCUUGGUGAAUGUCCUAUAUUUGUUUGUAAUGAUUGAAUACAUGAUCAAUGAUAAAUGUUAUGUGCUUAGUUGACUAAUACUUGUUGGAUUAUUGAUGUUUGAAUUGUUUGAGUGAAAAUUGACAAUUGCUACUAUUUACUGAAAGGUGAGCGCAUACUUUAUUGCACUCAACCUAAGUGAAUUUUGAAAAUAAUAAAUGCCUAAUUGUUACUGAAAUUGUGCAUGAAUGUAAGCCGAGUAUGUACUUUAUCACAUCAUUUGAACUGGGCCCCAAACCCACUGUUGGAUAGUCUAUUCGAACCGGGUAACAGGGUUGGUCGAGUAGGCUAGAAGACAUUGGGUACUGAAAUGUUUGGUAUGCUCGAGUAUUACCCCCUUAAUAAGGCGCAUGUGGAAGUGACAAAGUGAUUAAUAAUUGAAAGGGAUUGUUUACUGUUUUGGAGGAUAUAAGGAGGAGAUUGGUGGAGUGUGAAGUGAUUGCAGGAAGUUGUGCAAUGAAUUAUUGAACGGAGCUAAUGCUACGUUUGGAAACGGACGGGAGCCACCUCUAGAGUCCGUAUUAGUACCGUAUCCUUUGAUAUUGAUUGUGUUAUUUGUUAAGAAUUGUUUCACGAAUUAUCCUAUUAUUAAUUGGUUUGUUAUUCCCAUUAUAUUACUGAAAAUGUGAAAUUGUGUGUUUAAGGUUACUUGUUUUCCUAAAACCUCACCGGGAGUAAGCUCAUGCCUUUAGUUUGUUUUCCAUAAUAGAGGUUGGAAACGUGGAAUUGGGGAAUAGUGAGCUUGAGAGUUGAAAUCUUUGUUUUAAAUGAAUUGCCAUCCUAUUUAUACUUACUGAAUUGAUUGAACAACUUAUAUUUUGAUCCGUUUGGUUGUACAUAUAAGUAUGGCGAUGAUUUGGAAUGUUGGAUGGUUUGUAGUGUUUAAUUGUGGUCUUUUAAUGCUUACUUUGGAUUUAAUGCUAUUGAUUGGAAGAUUUUGAGUGAGUCCUGGCUAGUGUUAGGUAGGCGGCCUGUUAAAUCUUAGGGUACACCCUAAGGGGAGGUAAACUUGUCACAUAUUAGCUAUCAAAUCUACAUUUAAUGCUUGGUUUAUACACUUCUUGUAUUAUGUCCAUUGAUUAUUUUAUUAUAGUGGCUUGGUCAAGCUUCUCGUGGCGUUAGAUUUUUGUUGGAGCUUUCGUUAGUAGUGAAGUUGCAAUUAUUAUAUUGGCUUUGGGUCAUUAGCUUUUUAUAUCUAUUUCUCUAUUGUCUGCCGCAUCUAUUUUGUACCAUCUUUCCUGCUCUUUAUUUUAGUUUCUCUACUUUGCAUUUGCUUGGGUAAGCCAUUUGCUUGCUUUCCUUUAAUUGCUCUUAUUCUCAUAUUUCUUUUAUCUUUGAUCACAUGAAGUUAUAAUUGUUUUUCAUGUGUUUUUCAUCUGCUGGUGUUCAUGUUUAGUCUUCUUUUCUUAGUAGAUUCCUCAGCGUUGCUUCACUUCAGCUUAUAGUCAACGAAGCUGUAUUUAUUGCCCUUGUUCCUUGUGUUGAUCGUUUGCUUUUAAAGUAUCUACAUUUAUCUACUUUCUGCUCUUAUGUUCGAAGUAAUGUUGUUAUCAUUUUCUCUUCACUAUUAAUUACGUUAGAAUAUCUAUUGUUUUGUCAUGGUUAUUUUUUAUUUAUUGCUUAAUAUAGAAAGUUAUUUUUGUUUGUUGUAGCUUUUCGAUUUCCAUUGAAUCUAAAUAUUUUGUUAUGUCUGCUUAACAGAAAAAGAUGAAAGAAACAUGGGUAAUUCGUUCUCUUUGCGUGCAAUCUCUCCUUCUGAGAAGCUGAUCGGCAGAUUUGCCUUCGAUCUCUCUCUUCCUUAGAGUCCAUUACAUUUCAAUGAACCGUAAAAAAUUCAAUCCCUCGAUUUGUUCUGGCGAAAGCUUUCCCCAGUAUGGUAUAUAUAGAUUCUAAUGAUGAUUUGCCUAUGCUUCUGCCGGCCUCAACCCAAGUCGCAGCCGAUGGCGCUCAGAUAGCAUCUUUGGAGGAAAAGAACAAGGAAAAAUAAACAAGAAGAAAAGGAUGUUUCCGAAUCAGGAGAUAAUAGUUUCCAGGGAUCUGAUGAUGAUCAAUGCAGAAUCUGUUUGUCUGGUUGCAGAGAUGAUUUGCCAUACUUGUGGAGGGUUCGUCCAAGGUGCAAGCACGGGUUUCAUGCAGUUUGCAUUUAUAAAUGGUUAAAGACUAAUGCAACCUGUCCAAUAUGUCGCCAGAGUGUUUAUGUUACGUGAUUAAUCACUAGGGUUUUUCUUAAUUAGAGAUAAAUAUUAAAAGUUCUUUGUAGCUAGGAGUCUUAUCUUGGCGAAAAUUUUGUAAGUUGUAUAUAAUCAAAUUCUUUAACCAAAGCUGGUAACCUAAAAAAAAAAAAAUUUUGUUAUGUUGGCUAACUUCAUUAAUUAAUAGCAAAAUUUAAGGAAUCUUCUGAUUUUUUCUAUUCACGUGUCUUUUUCUUCUUAGAUUGGGUUUUUGCAUUGUUCUACACUUAAUUUAUCCUUCUUCAUGUAUGAACAACCAAGCUAUUGCUUUAGCCAUUUAACAUUUUUUCCCUCUUUAUCUCUAUACUAUAUUUUGCUCUUUGCUCACUAUAUUUAGUUUUUCAUUACCUUGCUAGUUCAUUUAAUAAACCCUAGCUUGAUUGUCUUACUCGACUCUCAUUAUUUAGGUAAAGCAAUCUUUUGUUCAGCUAAUUCCUUUUUCUCUACUCAGUGUAUUCUGUUUUCUUUGUUUUUCUCUUACAAGUCAUAUUUACUGCCUCUAUUUUAUUAACACUAUUGAGGAUUCUUAUCUCUCUUAUAUAUACUCCUUCUAACUAAUUCAACCUUUGAAUGGCUUGUCAUUGUUAUUGUUGCACACCAUAGUUAACAUAAUUUCUCUUCAUUUUAGCUGCUAUCACAUAUGGGUCAGAAACAUAAAUUUUCAUAAGAAGAUGAAUAUUGUUUAGAAGAAACCGUCACAACCUUGAAAGAUAUAUUAGGAAAAUAGUUUAGCAUAAAAAGGCAGCCCUCUUGCCUACUGAGCAGCAAAGUACUGAGCACAAAUUUCAUUUGUGAUUCCUGUUGUUCCAAUGACUGAGUGUCGCGCCCCAUUUUUUAAUAAGAAAAAUAAUGAGUUUAGAAAAAUGGACUUUUUGAUUUUUUUGGAAAAAUGAGUUUUGUUUUUUUAGAAAAUGAAUAAAGGAAAAGGGCCUAAAUGGGACUUGUAAUGUGACGAUUGGGGCCCAAAUUAUAGUUCGAAAAGGGUUUUUGAAAUAAAAAAUCGGAUAGUCGGAGUCGUCGCCACUUGUAUAGAGUUAAAGAUGUACCAAGUCACCUAAAAUGAUUUUUUAGAUAAAAUUAUGGAAAACCCUUUUUCAAACGACUCCUAAGUCUACGAAAAUCAGAGAAAGUGUACGGGAGUCACAUUUGACGAAGGCGAAGCAAGGAUAGAAAUCUGACGGCACCCCUUCGACCUAGCCAAGGCUAGUUGCGUGAUUUAGUCAAAAGGUUUUCUUGUUUUAACAAAGAAUUUAUCACAUUUGGAUGUACUAUAUGAAUGCAAACGCUAAACCUAGGAGGGCAUCGGGGGGUCAAAAUAUCCCUUCGAAGUUAAUUGGUACCAAUUAUAUUAAUUGUGACGCCCAAUAAAGAUUUUUCGAAGAUGUCACGAAUAAUGCAAAAAUAUGAGACUCUAAAAAAGGAAAAAGAACAAGAUAAUUAUAUAAAUACAAAUAUACGUGACCUAAGGGAAUGCAUCAUGUCGGGUACGGGGGACUAAUGUUCGUGACUCAAUUUUCCCUUUUAAUAGAGGGAAUACGAGCGUGCUAAGGCUAGAAAAGCCAAACUCGUCCAUAUCCCAUAUCCAAGGGGUUUUCCCUAAUCUAAUGAAGCAAAUGCACUACCCUAAUCCUAUUUCUAGAAUGAAAUGCAAUUCUAAUGUUAUGUAUCAUACAUAGGGGGGAUAUAUAUAGGAAAAUUAGGGAUAAGGGCUAUAUGUAUAAGGGGUAUAUCAUACAAAAUGAUAAAAGACCCUAGAAAGUAAAAUAUGCAUGAGAUUAAAUGAUUUUAUCACACAAUCAUGAUCUAUCGCGCGAAGGGGCUCCUAAGGGUCUAGCGUUGGACUAGCCCAUAUUUCUACUUUCUCACUAGCGUUGGACUAAUGAGAAAUCGAACAAAGAGCCACAACUAGCAUUGGACUAGUGCGGAUUCAGGAACGGCGGCCACAAUUAGCGUUGGACUAGUGUGGUGACGACAUGCAUUUAUUACAACCAAAUAAAUCAUGUAAGACCUAAUAAAAGCAUAUAAACACAUAAAUCAUAUAUAGCACAUAACACACGAGCAUGAUAUAUAGAUGCAAGACCCUAAGAAAGCGGUAACACAUAGCACAUAGACAUGCAAAACACACAUAAGGCAAGUAAAACAAAUAAAGCCCUAACUAUUACAUUUGAGGGGGGCCCUACUACAAUCUAAAAGGGGGAAAUGAAAUAAACGAUUAAAAUAAAUACCUAACUAUUACAAAUUUGGCAUUCAAGUGCCUCUUCAAAUAAUUGAAAUUGAAAAUAAAAUAAGUAUUCAAAAUUUCAACAAAUAAAGCAAAUAAAACAUUCAAUAAAGACAUACAAUUAAACACAUAAGAGUCACAUAAUGCACAUAGGGUCAAAUAAAGUAAAAAUAAGGGAUAGAGUGUACCUCCCUUGAGUUGGAGCUCUAAUGACACGAAUUUACUUAUUUACCCUCCAAAAUAAUAAAAGGGUCAAGGCAUCACUUUAAUUAAUAAUAAUUAAUGAAAUAAAAAUUAAACACCCAAAUAACAACUAAACACCAAAUAAAAAUUAAACACAAAAAUGAAAAUUUGAACCCAAAAAUGGAAUUACUUAAAAUAAAUCGUCUAUAUUAAAGAAAUUAAAGCGAACAAGAGUCUAAUUGAAAUAAUUAAAAAAUUUCUAGGAUUAGUACUAGAAUUAAUGACUCAUGAUGGAAUUUACCAAAAUAAAAAAUGCUAAAAAUUUCACAAACAAAAAUCAAAGAAAUCACUUGUUACGAUUAAACAACAAAAUACUUAAAAAUAUCACUAAAAACUCAAAUCAUAAAUCCCUCAAACACUAUUAAACCUCAAGAUUUCAUUCUAAGAUUCAUGAAUAACCCGUCCAAAAACCACAUUAAAGCAUACCAAUUAAAAUCAACAAUUUAAUGGGACCAAAUUGAUCAGUCUUCCCAAUUCUUCGGGCCAUAGUAACAUCAUGGGGACUUGAGAGGACAAAAUGCAAUUUUUUAAAGUUUUGCAUGCAAAUGCUUCCAAGGACUCUCGGCAAUGCAACUGAACUUUUUCAUUAUAGCUUUUGGGUUAUCUGAUGCAAUCUUUUCUCAUCCGAACACAGCUAACAACUUAACCAAUCAAAAGCUUGGACUGAAGUAACUAGAUUACCAAAACUUUUCCAUUUUCUAGCCACAAAAUCUGUGACGCCCCCACUUCUCCCUAAGGCGAACCAAAGGGUAUCCGCGGAACGCCUGCCUAACUCUCGCCAGGACUCAAGCAAUUCCAUUCAGACUUAUUAUCGGACCAUACAGUACGAUCAAUAACCUAGAUACAAUAAAUGCGGAAGCGUUCAAGUUUAAUAAAAGUCAUCCAUUAUCCAACCCGCACAUCGGGUGUUCAACAACCAUCAUAAAUCCCAAAUAUACAUCAUGCUCCAAAAGUUACAUUCGGAUUUCAAAAAUACAACCCAAAAGCCAAGACAUAGCCAAAAGUAAUAGAAACCCUAAACAAAAGCGUAUCAGGAAGGUUUCUUCGAUACCUUGCCAAGUUCAAUCCUGUUAAGGAAAACAAAUCUACAGGGUGAGCAAAACGCUCGUGAGGCCAAGAACACACAUACAAGCACAUUACUCAAAUAACAAUCUCAAUUUACAAGUCAAGAAAUCAUAUUUUAUUAAUUAACAAUUUACUGGAAAUAUAACCAGAAACAAUUCAAGGAUACUGGAGCCCUCAGGAGCUAUAUUCCACUUGCACAUUCAAUAACCUCCACGAAUUGACACUCCGUCAAUCGGGUAGGUUUAGUCCGUAGAACUCCACUUAACCUAUCCCCUUUCACCUUACAUACCCCUAUAUCGGGCCCGCCUGUCAUUUGUUUGUGGCGAUACUACUCGAGUAUGCCAAGCAAGACCUCUCACUAGGUCAAGCUUAUAUAUCUCAUGGCUCGCCAAGGUUCCGACCGAGCCCAUGCCGGCUCAAGUCCAAGGUCGGUCAAUGAGAUUUGGGCGUCCCCAUGUGCACUUGUGUGUCGAGGAGAUUCACUCCAACGACGUAGGCAACUAUAGCAUACCAUUACAUUUCAUUCAUUCAUUCAAUACAUGUCAAUCAUUCAUUCAAUGCAUGUCAAUCAUUCAUUCAAUGCAUUUCAAUCAUUCAUUCAAUACAUUUCAACCAUUAAUAUUUCAUUUCUAAUGAGAACGAGUGUGGUAAAGUACACACUCGACUCCACUUUCAAGAUUUCUAAUCAUUAAUAACAAUUAAACAUGUAACAAGUUUACAUACACCUGACACUCACAAGUAUUAGGUGUAAGUAAGGUCAAGGAAAGUUCAAGCGUCCACCGUGGGAUCCUCUUGAAGGUCCUCGUGUGCGCCUGAGGAAAUAAUAGUGAAUUAUCAUCCAAAUCCCAAAUAUCGAGGAAUAAUUCGUUCACUAGUAUUAAUCUAGGGGAUUCCGUGAAAAUGAACCUCAAUUACUCGUAAAUCGAGGUUUGAGAGGGGUUUGAUAACUUUCAAAAGUAUUAAGUCUUUAUCUAGGAAAUCGGGGAUAAAACGUUUAGAUAAUAUCAAAAGAAUAAAGAGUUCUUGAAAACUUAUUUCCUUGAAAGUUGGAAAUUUUCAGUUUGUUAUGAAUCUUUGAAAAUCGUAACUCACUCGGCAUAAGUCGAGAAUUGGAAAACUUUAUACCGUUGGAAACCUCUUAAAAAGUACUACAAGUUCUAGAAGACACUUUUCCAUGAAUCGAAGUGGAAAGCUGCUCAAAAAUGAGCUUGAGUACUGUUCCAAAUCACCCAGGAUUGAGCGCGGGGUUGAUUUUUCGCUAACUUUGAAAAUUCGCGCAGAAUUUACUCGUUGUAAACCAGCCCUUGAAAUUUAUAGCUCAAUUAUAGGUGCAAGCAAGGUUUAGGACAGAACAAGCGGAUCGAGAAUUGGAGUUUCGAGUACCAAGAUAUGGUAGCUCAAAGUUGGGUAAAUUUCAAGACUGUUAACAAAUUUCCAGAUUUGGUUCCGACUUUGGACCUUUAGUUAAGUGUCGGAACGGACUUGGAUUGAUACCAAAUUUGUAGUAUAAUACUCCUAUAUGAAGGGUAUCUCUCUAUCAAAUUUCGUGGAAAAAUAACUUCGGGAAGGUGGUUAACCAAUCAACCAAAGUUUGAAAUUACUAAGGCCAAACUGCCUUUAGCUCUCUUUCUCUGUUUCCAAACAUUCGGCUAAGGAAAAACCUCCAAACAUGGUUCAUUUGUGCAAGAAAGGUCUAAGUAACAUACAUGGUACUUUUAGUAGGUGUUUAGCACCAAGAAAUUCAUUUAGUAAACCACAACAAGUCUCACAUCUAAUCUGUCCAAAUCUAAGAGUUUUCAAAACGAGGCAGUCGUCGUAUUUUGAUCAUAAAUCACUCAAUUUAGCUCGGAAUUGGGAAUGGUUGAUAGUGUUGGAAAAUACAUUCAUAGGGAUAAAAUUUCACAGAAGAAAUCAUUUUAAGUUUCAGCAUGCAACUGGCUCGAAAUUAAGCCUAAAGUUACAGCAUCAUCAAAUCAUUUCGGCAGAACGGAGAAACAGGGCAGCUGAAUUCAGAAGAGUGGUGCGGUUCACACACAUGGAACCAGAAUGUGCAUUAUAUACCUUGGAAAUAUGGGAACGUAUAGUUUCAAAUCCGCUAACGGCACUUGAUUUCGACGUCGGAGUACGGAGUUAUGGACGAAAUACGAACACUGGUCUGGUUACGACGGAAACCGUUUUCCAGAUUACUAGCUUUGGGAAAUAAAUUCUUUUGAUCAACCAAAACUCAACAUUUUUCAACGAAAUUUUUACACAACUACUACAACAUGUAAACAACACAAUCAAGCCAUUAAAUCUCCUAAUUUCUGCAUUAAAGUGGCCGAACAGAGCAGGGGCAAAAUGGUCAGAUUUGGCCUUUGCGCCUAACGUGAGUUUCUAUCAAUUUUCCAUCAACAAACCACUGAUUUAAACACUAAUUCCACAUUAUAAACAUCAUCAAGAACAAAAUCAGCAGCAACCCAAGAGUGGGAAUUCAUAGAGCCCACUUUUCCAAUUUUCCAACAUCCACAACAACCCAUAAGAAAUCAAGAGCUAAAAGAUAUACUAGAACUUCCAAAAAUCAAAGUUAGAAGGCUAGAUUAAGACUUACU
rnacentral:lncRNA from 1 species